rnacentral:lncRNA from 1 species
ACUUUGAGUGAAAUACUAAUAAUAAUAAUCGUGGUAGUAGUAAUAAUAAUAAUAAUAGUAUCUUAAUAAAAAAUAUUUAUUAUAAAGAAGUAUAUUUAUAAAAAAAAUAUAUAUACUUUAAGAAACAACUACAGUAAAUCUAAAUUUUGAGGUGUGUAUUUAUAAAAAAGAUUAAAAAAAAAGAAUUAACUUGAGCAAAAUCAAAACUAAAGAUAUUUAUUUAUAGAUUGGAUAAAAUUGAAAAUCAAUUACGACAAUUAAAUUUUGAUGCCAGAAUUUAUAGAAAAUGGUAAAAGAAAAAAAAAUAUUUGACACGUAAAAACAUUAAUUUGACAAUCCAUUAUAAAAAUAUACAUUAGUAUUUAAAUUAAGUUGUUUGAUAGGUGUAGUAAGUUUAUUUUAGUGUCAUGUAAUUCAUAGAAAAUAAUAUUGUAUGCAAAAUACUCUUUCUUAUCAUUUUUAAUUAAAGAAACCUCUUUUAAAUUAUUUUCAUAAACAAGAAUCGAAGUGAAAUUGAUGUGAUUGGAGUGUGUUAUGGUUUUUGGGUGUAUGAAGCGAAGGUAGAACAAUAGGAAAACCCAAGCUUUAUGGGAGUUGGUGUGGAAAGAAACUGUGGGAGGAAGGAUAUAAGUCAUUGUAAAAGAAAGAAAAGGAAUUGUUUUAAGAGUGGGUUGGUCCAAUUGCAGGUGUUCCCAGACUGCACUCAAUUUGUUGUGCUUAUUGUUGCAUGAAAGUGGGAAGUGAGUUGCUAAAAACAUGAUUUUGUAUGUAAGAUAUGAGAGGAAUAGAGAAGAUACAAGACUUACUUCUUUUGGGAGAACAGUGUUGAUCUGGGCAAUAGUAUUCGCAUGAAACUACAUGUCCAUCGUAACCAUCCAUCCCGCAGUUACUUUCGUUGCAUCUUGUGCAAUGUUGAGGAACAUCAUAGUAGACCUCAAACCCAUCAUUCAAAGCUUGUUGCAGAACUCCAGCUCCAUCAUCACUAUCAUCAUAAUGAUUCAGAGGAGCCGCACUGGGCAACCUCAAACUUCUCUUGCACUGCUUAAGCAGUGGGUAUUUCUCGAGCAUCUCAUCCUCCUUGUAUGCCUCCUCAAAAUAAUACACACCAUCCUCCCCGCACGUCCAUUUGCGUUUUGAAGGGAAUUUCGGGAUGUCAAGAGGACAACCAUGGAAGAAUACGGUGACGUUGUGCACUGAAGCGUAAUACUGUAACAGAGUGCUGUUCAAGUUCUCGUAAUUCUUCAAAAAUUCAGGAGAACAAACAUCUUUGACAGUGUCUGUUGGUACCAGUGUCAUGGUGUGAGUGGUGUGGUCGAUAUCCUUCACCGUCAAAUUUUGAUGUUCAUAACGAUCAUAUUUAUAAGGAUCAUAGCAGAUGAGCUGGGAUGAUGGGUGGGCGCCUUUACAUUGAGACGCUGGACUCUGUUCCCAGAAAGGAUCCAGGAUGGCGGUGGCGGAAACGUUUAUGCUGCACAUGUAUGACUGUGGAGCACAAGGCGGUGGCGGUGGCGGUGAUUGAGAGUGGGAGUAUGGGAAAGCGAUGAAGAGGAAGAAAGAGAGGGUGAGUGUGGUGUGGAUCUCAUUCAUUAUCGUAGUUCUUCUCAUUUCCCUCUCUCAGAGAAAUGAAAGGUAUAGAAGAAGCAGUUCUUCACAGCGCCAUACAUACCAAUUAUCCACACACUCCUCCCACGAAACUACCUCCUUCUUUCUUCUUACUUUCUUCUUUCUUCUUAAUUUCUUCACACUCAUAAAUGAAAGCUAUAGAAGCACUUAUGAACACACUCCUCCCACGAAACUACCUUCUUCUUUCCUCUUACUUUCUUCACUCCCAACAAAAUACAUUUCAAUUUUCCCCAAACACGACUCGGUCUCUUCCUCUCUCCCUCAUUCAAAGAAUUAGGGAACAAACUCUGUUUAAUUUUGAAAUAAAAGAUAUAAAAAAAGUGUAAAAUGUAGAUGCAAAAUCUUAAAAUUAAAUUCCACCGAUUAAUCUAGAUUAUAAAAGUCAAUAUUAAAGGUUUAUUUGAGAUAUUAAGAUAAAUUUAUAAUGCUAAUUAGAGAAUAGCCACGAAAAUAAGUAAAGAGAUCAAAUAUAUACAUAUUGAAUGUGGAAAAGAAAAAAUGUUCAUUCCAAUUAAGUUUUGAAUUCUAGUACAAAAAUAAUAAUUUCUUUGAUGUAAAACUGCUCAAAACAAACCUAGUAAAUGAAUUGUGCAAAGAACUAAAAACUAAAACUCUCUACCAACCCCUCUUUAUCAUUUCUAAUUUUUUUUUCUCGUUUUACUAAGAAGCUAUAUAAUCAACUCUGAGUUAGAGACAAGGAAAUUAGAGUAUAUUAAGUUGGAAAAGAUUUUGUUGAAAAAAAUAAAAAAAACUUACCCUUGACAUUAUAUUGUAAUAAUAUAAUAAUAUUUUUAACUAAAAAAUAAAUUAAAUAUAAUUAAAUAUUAAUUUUUUGGUAUGUGAAAUGAAUGUUUGACACUGUAUAUGCUGUUAACGUAUCAUCACUGUACUACUUUUGACCUUUUAUUGAUAGGAGUUCGGUUGAUACACGUUUAUAUAUGUUCUACUCCAAACUCUAAUUAUACAAAGAUAGCCUAAGAGGAUUUUACAAAAUAGCAUUUUUUGUAUCUACUUUCAUUUAUAUUUCUGUGGAGCUAAAGAAAAAAAUGCAGACAAACAGCAUUUUUUUUAAAAUCUAUUUUAUGUUUUUAAUUUUUGUGAUAAAUUAGAUGCAGACAAUUUUUUACUUCAAAAGCCCCACUUUCAACAAUUUUUUCUUAUUUCCUCUAUUUGCGUUCUCUACUAUCGAUUUAGUUUAUAUUUUCACACGGUUCAUAUUUCUGAUUGGACUUAUCAACGUAAUAAUCGUAUUUGAAAUGAAAUAGUAAAACCUCUAUGAAUUCAUUCUUUCUUUGACAAAUACUUUUUUCAUACAAAUGACCUUAAUCAGACCGCAAAGGAGUUCAACCAAAUGUUUCCAUGAGCAUUGCUAGUAACACACUAAAACAGACUCUUCAUACUAUGAUAGUAAGAAUCCAUACAACUUUAAUUUCUAUUAAACUUUAUCCUAUAAGAAAAAAAGUAUGUUCAAGAAUGUGUUAAAACAUUUAGCAUCUCUAUCACCAGUCGUGUCAAUUCAUCAUUUUAUUGCUGUUACAAGAAAACAGCCUCACACAAAUAACAGAAAAGAUUCAGAGUGGAUGAAAAAUGGCAAAAGAACGUGAAUGCUUGGGACUGUUCAAUGAAAAUUACUUCUAAAAGUCAAUAAAAAUGGUCGUAUCAAAGAAAAUUCCAGAUACAUAGUCUGUCAUCACACUAAUUCGUAAAAACAGCCUGGGUGGAAACGAGUUACCAUGUCUGUAAGUUUGCAAGCACAGAACCAACAGUUUCUAAGCCAAGUACAAGGGGCUGCUCUUGCCAGCAGUGACUCAGAAAGCAGCAGGCAAACCAGGCUCCAUGUAACUUGGAAGUCUCCUCAUCUUUUGUCGCCUUAGGAUGUGUUCUCUUUAACCUAAGAAAUUGUUACAAUGGCAGAAAACAAAUAAAGAAAAAUCACGAUCCGAUUAGAUCAGGUGUUUCUGCCUCGAUGGAUAACAAUGCAGUGUGUACUUUCCCUGUCCAACUGUCAAGUCUAUCCCUUAAGGAUUUGAUCUGUUGAAUACCCAAAACUCUUGGUUGCACCCAGGAGACGUGCACUGUGCCCUCAACUUGAUCAAUUAUACCCUCAAUUAGAUGAACCUGCAAAUAAAGAAAUUUACUUUCAAGCUCUAAAUUUUAAAACGUUAUUUGCCGAAACCUCUAUAUGAUAAUAAUAAAGUUCUCAAUUAAAGAAACUUCCGAUUGCUUUGCUUAGAACAAUUCAUGGACAACUAAAAAUUCUUUGAAACAAGUACAUAAUGCAAUAAAUACAUUCAAAAUGAAGUUGUCUUUUGUACUCCUUGUAAUAAACAUUAAGAUAAGGAGCAAAGUAAGUAUUUCAAAACCACAGCCACAAUAUUCAAUAAGACCCUCUGCUUAAUCACAGAAAAGGUGUAGAUAUACAAGUAAAACAACAUAUUUGUUUGAAUGGGAAAAAAGAUCCCAAGUCUAAAGCAAGCUUCAGGAGGUAAUGAAAGGACAAGAUGAAAGCAAGACUAAAAAGUUAACACAACACCAAUUCCAAACAGCCAAAAAAGCAUUUCAACUUUGAACCUAGGACAAACCCUUUGGACUUAAUAUUGCAAAUAAUCGGCUCAAAGUUCUAACAUCAGAUAAAUAACGCAUUCUGUGCAAAAUUCCCGAGAUUUAUAAACCCUAGUAAAAGAUGCAAAUGCUCUGCAAAAUUUUAACCAAAUACACUUCUUCACUUUAUGUCAAUUAAACUCUUAAAAUCAACCAAUUCACUUGUCCCAUUUUAACCCACUUCUUAGUAAUGGAUGUAGUUAAUUUUCAGGUGAUAAAAAUAGAGUUAAUUGCCAAUGAAAACUACAAAGAAUUAUCUAAUAGACAAUCAAAGUCAAAACAGAUUAUUUGCAUUGCAAUACUGCCAAUAGGCAAGAAAUUUGCCUUAAAUGAAAUCAAGCAUCAAAAGCACUUCUGAAGAUGUUUGAACAGGCAGAUCAUACCACUCACUUUGACAAAUCUGGCACAAGAUGGUAGGUCAUUUUCAGCAUGGCAAAAGUACAUCAUUAGGUGUUGCUUAUGUAUCACGGUUAAUAACUAGAACUCAAUAAACAACUAUAUAUUGUAUAAGCAAUAAUCAACACAACAUAAUUCUUCAACUGAGUAGGGACAUGUCAACUGCUCGAGACUCAAGAACUUAAUAAAAUACCAGUUAGAUUAUAGUUUGUAUCUCCAUUCCCAAACAGAAUAUAAGCUUAAAACACUAUGAUCACACUAAUUAAUUGCCAUCAUAGAUCAAGCCUUGGUAGAAAAUAAUAUACACUAAUAAAAAUGAGAAGAAAACAGAAAACAUCAUAAGCUAUUUCACAUUUACAGAAAUGCAUGGGUUGAAAGAAAGUGUAGUACUUUAAAUGGUUGCAAAGAAAAUCAAACAAAUUUUCUACAUUGUUUUCCUAAUAACUUCUAACACAACUUACAGAUAAGCUCUUCAUCAGGAGAUGUUCCACAUUUUCUAUAGAAAGUUUGGUACGCUCAGCAAUUACAUUCAAGGGAAUAGUUCGAUCUUCUGAAGGCCGACUGCAAGAAAUGGAAAUCAGUUUGAAUUGGGAAUGAAAAAAAAAACAGGUUAUUAAAUACACCUCAACAGGUGACAAAAAUGCAAUCUAAUUAACUAUACACCUGAAUAUAAUCUCCAUCAGGCAGAGAAUGUUGAUUUUUUCCAACAACUUCUGUUCAUUUUGAACCAGUGCUGGUUGGGCUCUUAAAGCAGCAUUAUGCACCCGGCACAAUUCUUGAUAUCGUACUAAAUCACCAGAAUUGAAUACCUGCAGAAUGUAGUAAAGCCAUUCCACUUUUGUCCCUAGAAGGCUCUUGAUCUGUUUAACAUAUUAUAGGCUGUGUGAACCAACAUAGUAAAAAGAUAGAUGAAACAAAGAAAUUUCAGAAAAUAGGCGUUCCAAAUAUUUUGGUGUAAUUACUCACUAUAGGAUGGGCAAGUAGCUCUCCAAAGUUGUAGAUGUUGUCCCCAAGAAGGGCAGAGAGGGACAAAUCAAAUGCUAAAUCCUAAAAAUAAAAAAUAGCACAUUAAUUCAUAUAAAAUCUGCAGAGAAAUAGAAACAAACCAUAAAUGAGAUAUAGACUACUAUGAACUCUGCUAUAACCUCUUCUCAUCCCUUAUACAACACAGUGCACCUAAAUGUAUUUAUAAGCCUCUGACAAAGUUUCCAUUUUACUAAAGAAAAAUGCAUCAAUUUAUCUUCAAACUCCUCCACAUUAAUCUUUCUAAGGUUGACACAAUGACAUUUGCAAUGUCGGGACGAAGCAGCAAAAUAAAAGUAAAACAAGCUAAAAUUUUAACACAUAAUAUAUAAAUAUUACAUAGAUGAAGCACAGUUAGACUUAGACACAUCAACUAGCUUUAAUUACCACAGGGACAACAUAAAAUUGGACUGCAGCUGCCAUGAGCUUUGAGCUCCCGUGUCAUAUAUAUAUAACUCUAUAGGAGAAAAAUGUGAUUCAAGAGAAUAAAUAUCACUCCUUGAUACCAACAAUUGGAUGUGUCAUUAUCACACACUGUAAAUUAAUAAACAGUCUUAGCCAUAUGCUUUUGGAAAGUAUCACCAAUUAUGGAGCUCCUUAUCAUUGUCAUCUUCCUUCUUCCCCUCCCUUACAGAUUUUGUUGGAGAGAAAAUACAAUUUGCAUAAUUCAGAAAGAAUUGCCAUAUAUGCAAUAGUCACAACCAGUGUUGUCUAAUUCCAAAAGUUUUGGCACCCAUCGUCAUCCACUAUUUGUAGAUAAGGAGCUUGAUGGAUAACAAAAGGAAGCAAGUUGAAAAUGGAGAGGGUCAAGAUGGAACAUCAUCUCAAGGAGUUUCUAUAAAAGGAAAAGGAGGAGCUUCUGAAACUAGAAAGGAGUUCUGGUUGAAGAAUUGGAUAAAAUAGUAGUGAGGAGGAAGAAUUAGACGAAAGGAUUGCAAAAUAUUAAUUUGGAAAUGUCAGUAGAGGAAGAUGAAGGAGAUGCCUCUUUUGAUGAUGAGGAUGACGAUUUGUUUUGCAAUGAGUCAAUGUGUCUUUAGUAUUGCCCUAUUGUUAUGUGAUGACAAUCACAUGACAUUGAGACUUAGAUAAAUGUUAUGAGUUUUAGUUUUAUGUUGUUUUUAAUAUAUUUGUCACUUUUUAAAUUUGUAUGUGUGUAUAUAUAAACACAUUGUCAGCCAUGACUUCCGCCAUAAGCCAUUGUUCCAACCGCUCUAUUUAUAUGGCGGAUUUUUUUGGCUUUCUAUCUCCCCUUGAAAUACAAAGCAUAAAUUUAUUCAAAAGUAACCAUUUUAAGUAAAUAGCCAUAAAUUGAGACAACAGAAAAGUAGAUUUGCAACAAUUGUGAUGACACACCAGCUUAAAUGAUUCUGAGAGAGACUCCACUGAUGUGUAUGCCAAAUAGAGAAGGGCACUUUUGUAGAACUCUGCAAAUUCUUGGCGGGUCUUGUGAAAUUGAGAUGAUACCCAGUAAUAAUUGGCAUAUACAGAUGGAUCAAUAUCCGUCAUGCUGUCAAGUGUAGUCUUACCAUCUUCUAGGAGUUUCUUGCUUUCCUUCUGGUCACCUUGCUCAAGCUUGAAUAUUGCUAUUUGCAUCUUAAUGUAAAGGAUAGGUUCUUCUAUGCGCUGUUCUCUGGUGGCUUGCAGUUUCUCAAUGACUGCUCCAAGAUAACCAAUUGCCGCUUCUUUUUCAGAAUACUGCCGAGAAACUAUAACAGCAAAAUGCGCAAGCUUCAGAAGGUUGAUUUUAGUCUCAAAGUCUGUGAUGAAAUUGUGAUAUAAUUGAAUCAACGCAUCACCAGCCUGAAAUUUUUUGCAAUAACCAAUUAUAAAACAAAAGAAACUAUGAACUAUAAUAAGAAUACAUGCCAGAAAGUGAAUUUCUUUCAAUAAAAAGUAAAGAAAUAUUAUAUUAGAAUCAAAAGGAAAUAGCAAUAUCCACAAACUGUACAACAUAAUAAACGAAAUCAAACAUAAUAAUUAAUAGUUGAGUACAAGAAUGAGUGACAUGACUAACAUAAUGGAAUCAAACAUGUGCAAUAGUUAAGUAGAGGCAUUACUGGGCAAUAAAGUGGUCAGGAUAGUUCUACUUCGGGUUAAUUAACAACCAAUGUCGUUAAAUAGUGGCCAUGGUAGCGGUAUGCAGAAAUCAGUCAGGCACCAGAAAAUGGCGAUAGGGUGGCUGGUUUUUAUGGUGAGUUGUGGCAGCCACAAAAUGCAAGGCAGACAUGGCAUCUGAAAUGGCCAUGGCAAAAUGCCUGUCAAGAACAAAGAGAUGAAUGAGUUGGGUCAUGACACCCAGCCCCAAAAAAAUCUGAAACCCUAAAACAACAAAAGAAAUGGUCUGGGCCAAGCAACCCAACCCAAACCAUGUCUAAAAAAGAUUGAAAACCUUUUAAAAGUAUAGAAUACAGGUUGGACUGCAUGACCCAACCCCAAAACUAUUUUUAAAAAAUAGGGCCCUGGCCUGACCCAAACCACAGCCAAAAGAAUUAAUGAAACACCCCACUAGUUAGAAAACCUUAAACCAAAAGAAAAGAAAAGCAUCAACAGUACGUUGCAAAAUCGCAUGGAGCUGGACAACCACCCAAGCACUGUCACAGGCAUCUCCAGAAACCACUGCACCUGAGAUGGAUCAGCACCGCACUACCCUAACACCCAGCAACUAUUACAGCCAUCUCUCGCAACCACCACACCAAAGUUGUACUAUAGAGAACCACCCCAGCAACUGUCACAGACUCACAGCCAUCUCCAACUACCAACCAGCAACAUAUUUCUAUGGACUUCAUUGAAGAAUUACCCCAAUCCCAGGGUAAGCAAUGCAUUUUUGUUGUAGUGGACAGGCUUAGUAAGGCUGCUCAUUUUAUAACCCUCACUCAUCUUUACACUGCACCCGUAGUGGCUCAAUCCUUCUUAGACAAUGUAUUCAGAUUGCAUGGCUUUCCUGAAUCUAUAAUUAGUGUCAGGGAUCUGUUAUCAUCAGUAAAUUCGGGCAAGAACUGAUCCAUGUCAAGGUGUACACCAUUGAGGCUUUCUAGUGCUUAUCCACAAACAGAUGGUCAAACUGAAGUUUUGAAUAAAUGCUUAGAAACUUACUUAAGGUGCAUGCUGUCAUAAAACCCUCAACAAUGGGUUAAAUGGAUUCCUUUGGCAGAAUCGUGGUAAAAUACCACAUAUUACACAGCAAUAGAUGCCACUCAUGAGAUUGUGUAUGGCCAACCUUCCAACAACUUCAUUACCCUAUUUACCUGGUGGUGAGUCUACUGUGGUGUUAUUAGACAGAAGUCUUACAAAAAGGGGAGAGAUGUUAAGUUCGAGAUUUGGUUUAUUUGAAACUUCAUUCCUAUAGACAAGGCUCAGCAGCAACUAGAAGUAAUGAGAAACUGGCUCCUAUGUACUAUGGUCCUUUUCCUGUGAUUGAUAAGGUCGGGGCAGUGGCUUAAGUGUUACAGUUACCCAUAACUUCUCAAAUUCACAAUCUAUUCCUUGUUUCUCAGUUAAAGAAAUACAUUGGUGAUGCUACAAAUUCCUCAGUUUUGCCUCGCCAUAUAACUGAUAUUUCUGAUGUAAAGGAACCAGAAGCCAUUCAUGACAGAACCUUUGUCAAAAAGAGAGGACAGGCAGUGACAAAGUACUGGUGCAGAGAAAAAUCAGUGUCCUGAAGAUGCAACUUGGUAAUAUUACUCUGAUCUUCUCAAAAAAUUUCCACAUUUUUAUAAUCGUUCAGGACAAGGAUUUUCUUAAGAGGGGGAAAUUGUUAGAGUCUGCAUUUUUAGUAGUUAUAACAAAAUUAGUUUAGCUGAUGACAGCUAACGACUUGUUAACUAACUCUAUAAAUAGUUAGUGUGAACAUGAAUGAAAGCUCUCUUGCUUUUGAUAGACAACUAUAUAUAAAGAAAGUCUUGAUGUUCUUUAUAUUAUAGAACUUCCUGAAAUUUGAGAUUCUUCGAGCUCUUUAGUUCCUAGUAUCUUGUGUUCUAUUAGUUACCGUAUCACACAUGUUCCACACUUUAUCCCAUAACAUACCAGGUCGCUAAAAAUCUUCACUCAUCACUCCCCUCCAAAGCUAAAUAACUAAAAACGUAAAACCCAACUCCAAAUCAGGUGCCCAAACAUGUAUCCCCAGCAAAAACCUAAUUACAAUCCUUUAACAUCCCAGUCCACAUUUCCCACCCAACAUCUUCGGAUCCCUAACGAAAAUCAAACGCUAUCCUAGUGAAAAAAAUGUUCCCAUGUUUCCCACCGUUCCAAACACAACAAAACCCUAACGGCAGCACAAUCACUCUCUCACUACACCUCCCCUAACUCCCAAAUCGAGCUCACACCAACAAUGACAUAAAAACAAACAAAUUAAAACCCUAAACUAACCAUUUCCGAAACAAAACAAGCAUAAAUACAGUACAGCUCGAGAGCAAAGAAGAAGAGUGGAACCUGAAAAACAGCGAGUGCGACAAACUGCUCGAGUUUGAGGGUGAGCUGAUGCCAUAGCUUCUUCUGAUACAGAUCCGCAAGCGAAUUGUACCAUUCAGCCAACUCAGGUUGCGAAUUGCGCAGCGAUUCCAAGUAUUGCAGAGCAGCCAUAGCGAUUGAAACCAGAGAAAACCCCCAAACUACGAAAUUGAGAACCUUUGUACUCUCUCUUAUUUCUUCUCGGUGUUAUAAUAAAAUAUAUUGUAUUUUACAAUAUAAUCAAUUAUGUUAUAAUAUAAUUAGUUGUUGUUAUAUUUGACAACAUAAUUUACUUUUAUAGAUGCAUAUGCCAAUUAUUUUUAUUUAUAAAAUAUAUUAUUAUCAACCUUUAUUUUUAUUUAAAAUUAACUAAAUCGUGUCAAAAUCGGAUCAAUAAACUCUUUUACUUUGUUGAAUCAUCAAUUCAAAUAAAUAAAUGACAAAAUUUAUCUUUGAUGAUGUCUAUUUAAAUUUGUAUAGGUGUGAUUGAUGUUUCUGAUGAUAAUUUUUUGAAAAUAUUUUACAAUUCUAAAUAAAUAGAGUUAAUUUGGAUAACAUCUUCAUCAUAAAUAAAAAUAAAUAAAGGUUCAAUAUAUGUAAUAUAACACAAAAGUUGAAAUUUUAUAUUAUCCAAAUAAAAAUAAAUUGAAUGAGUCUUUCUACAUGUAAAAUUAAUUUAAUUUGAGAUUUUACUUUAUUAACCUGUUAAAAAUAGUAAUCGAGAAAAUGAAUUUUGAAAAAAAAAAAACUAACAAUAUGCAUAUUAAUACUACAAGAAAAUCAUUAAAUAAAAAUUAAUUUUAAAGAUAAAAAAUAAUUAGUUGUUAUAGUAACUAGACUAAAAAUAAUUAUUGAUUUUUAAAUUAGUUUAUAUUAUUGAUAAAUAGUAUCUCAGUUUAGGAUCUAAAUAAUUGGUAGUUAAAACCUUGAUAACUAAUUAGAUAUCAAUUUAAAAACUAUUUAUCAAUCAUAGAAACUAAUUUAAAAACCAAUAAUUUUUUUUAGUCACUAAAAUGAUUUCUAAUUUAGUCACAACUAAUUAUUUUUUGUCUCUAAAAUUGGUUUUUAUUUAAUAAUUUUAUUGUUGGGUGAGUAUUUUGUUUACUUUUGAAAAUUAUUUUAUCUGUUUUAAAUAAAAAAAAUUUGUUUAAUUAGAUAUUUUUUGGAAAACUGUUUCAAAAAAUAAUAUCUCGUUUUAAAUUUGAAAAUAAAAUAAGAAAAAGAGCAUCUGAAGUUAAAUUAUUUUAUAUUUUUACUUUUUUUAUUACCCAUUAUUCUUAUACUAUAUUUCAUAUUUGAUUUCUAUUUGUAACAAUGGCUGCACGUGGAGUAGGUUUACAUGAGUUUCUAAUAAAAUUACCAAGCUAUAAUUUUCUUCUUUUUGAAAAAAAAAAUCAUCGUUUUUUAAUUUCUAUAAAAUUUUAAAUAAUUUUUUUUAAUGAUUAUAAAAUAAAUAAAUUUUCACUUUGUUUUCUUUAAAAUAUCUUUUUAUUUUCAAAACAUUAGAGUUUUCAACAUAACGUGUGAGGAGGAUAAUGGACAAUGCAAAGAGAGGUUUUGAUGAGUGUAGUUGGUGUUUUAAGCUAAUAGUAGUUUGGGUAUAAAGAUAAUAAUACUUCCAUGUAAGAGUAAAUCACCUAAAGCUUGAUAUUGUGACUUAAAUCAUUGUUUAAACUGCUUUCACGACCAAGACAAAUAUAUAACAUGGAAAAGAAAACAUCUUGUUGUGAUUAUACCACAAUUAUCGUCGUAUUGCAGAUGAUGUUGUUGGAAACCAUUUUUAUGAAAAAUCAUAAUUAAUGAGUAUUAGUAAUUAACUUAUUGAAUAUAUUUAAUGAUAAACAUUUCAACUUGUAUCUCACUCUCGAAGAUUUUGAAGUUCAACUUAAAAAAUUGAAGAUGGUGUUUUCAAGGUAUCUUGAAAAUGUGACAAACAUUAAUUAUCUAUUAUCUCUUUAUAAAGAAGUUUUUCUCUCAUUCUCUAUAUAAAUAAACAUGUGAGAAAGAGAAAGAUAAACAAAAAAAAGUAACAUUGAGAGAAUAAAUAUCUACCAUAAUAUGAUAUUAGAAAUUCUCGUAAAAUGUAUAACAUAAAUAUUAUUUGGUUUAGGAUUUAAAACUAAGAAGAUAGAGAUGGUAAGGAGUGAAAGGACAUAGUCAUCCAUUAAUAAGAAGUUAAUGUUUGGUAUAUCAUAUCAUUUGGCUUCUGAAAUUAAAGAAGUAUACUUUUUCAAAUAAACCAAAAGGCAAACUAAGGAAAUUUAACCCCAUUUCUUUGAAAGGUAAGUUGAAGAAAGAAAAUUUGGGGGUUUGCCUUCAAAGCAAAGAAAUUAUUAGCUAGGAACCAAUACUGAUAGAGUCAACUUUUGUAAUAGUGUUUUUUAUAUAGAUUUUUUUUGGACAAUGUACUUCUUUAGAUGAAAAGAUAUAUUUAGAAAUUUUCUAUAAAUGUACUGUAAAUAUAAAUUUAAAAUACCACGCAUGUUUUAUAUUAAAAUUAAUUAUUUUAGUUGACAACUUUUAAUGAGAUUAUGAUUUAAAAAUAAAAUAUAUGAAAAAAUUUAAUUUAUAUAUGAAACAUUUUUGUAGAUUUCAUUUAUUUAUGGAUGGAAACUUACAAAAGGAUAAUUUCAUGGGUUAUAAAUUCAUAUUUAAGCUUAAUAAAUCUGAGGGUGAAUUAAGAAAAAUAAAACCAGAAAUAUGUUUUAAAAAUAGCAAGCAUUGAGUCCAGAUGCCAAGAUUGAAAGAUGGUGGUGUGCCCUAUAGCAUUAACUAAUAUUCGAUCUUGAAACUAAAAGAAGUGUUUGAUGAAAAAGUAACAUUUUAUACUGUUUUAUUUAUAUAGAGUGCAAUGCUAUUAUAAGGUGACAAUGGAAUUGAUAUUUAAAUGGAAUGAUACAGAAAUUCAGUCAAAAGAAAGAAAGAACUAGAAAAAAAUUGAAAAAAUUAUGUUGAACCCAUAGACAAAAUAACAAAGUCAAUAACAUCGUUUAAGAAUGAAUACAAUAUAUACAACACCAGAAAUAGAAAUAACUACAAGAGAAGGAAAAGAAGUUGAAGUAGAGAAAGAAAUUUAAAGAGAGAGUUACAUUUGUCACUUGUCUAUCAACUACAAUCUGUAAUUCAUAUGAUCAUAACAAACUACUUUGAUCUUACUUAUACUAACAACUUUAUUUGACCAAAAACUUUUAGUUAUAUACAUAACACAAUUUUAUCUAACAUGAACAUUUGCAUAUAAUAUGUUGGUAGAAGUAUGAAACCUAUUAUGUUGAACGAUUUAUUUUUGGAAUAUCAACCUAAAUUUGUCACUUGUCUAUCAAUUACAAGUUGUAACUGAUUAGAGCAGAUUACUUUGAUAUUAUCUAUAGUAACAACUUUAUUAGACCAAUAACUCUUAGUUAUACGCAUAAUACAGUUUGAUCUGACAUAAACAUUUGCAUACAAUAUGUUGGCACAAGUAUGAAAUCCGUUAUGUUGAACGAUUCACUUUACAAAAGUAGGGAAUAUCAACCCAAAUUGUAAAGAAAAUCACUUCAUCAACUAAUGGGAGAAGAAAUAUCAGGUUUUGGAGGCAUUUCCAAGGAAUCCAUGUUGCCUUCUAGCAUAUCUAUCACUCUAGUCAUUGUAGGUCUAUCAUGUGGAAUUGUUUGAACACACCAUAAUCCCACUACAGUCAUUAUCCUUGCCAUUUCAUGUUCUUUUGUGGUUAUGACACCAUCAGGUCUUAAUUCUCCACCCUGCUUUAGCCUGUUGUAUGCCCAGUGUGGGAAGUAUAUCUCACUUGUGUGAUUGGCUUCUGCAUUAAUAAUUUUUCUCCCUCCCACCAUUUCUAACAACAUCAUUCUAUAACUAUAAACAUCAGAUUUGUGUGAAACUCUACCAAGAUGUCUAUUCCAUACUUCAGGAGCUUUAUACCCUAUUGUUCCUCUUUGAUCUGACAUGAAAAUAGUGCUCUCUUUCACGGGGCAAAGUUUUGCUAGUCCAAAAUCUGAUAUUUUGGGACAAAAAAAUUCAUCCAAAAGUAUGUUGUGUGGUUUUAUGUCAAAAUGUAAAAUGCAGAGUGUUGCAUCCUUUGUGCAAGUAUGCUAGUCCUUGAGCUAUCCCUUUGGCAAUUUGCCACAAAUUAUUCCAACUCAACGAUGGAAUGACUUUGAGUCCCUUAUUGUAAAUAAACUUAUCAAGAGAACCAUUAGACAUAAAUUCAUAAAUGAGAACUUUAUUGUUGCCUUCCAAACAGAAUCCAAGAAGUUGAACAACAUUAACAUGAGAAGUUUUACUAAUACUAGCAACUUCGUUGAUAAAGUUUUCACCAUUUCCUUUUUUUGCAUUCAAUUUCUUUAUGGCCACAGGGCAACCAUUCAAUGUCUCUCCUUUGUAUACAGCACCAAAACCACCUUCACCUAGUUUAACUUUGAAAGAGUUGGUCAUUUUCUUCACUUCUGAAAAUUUGUAUUUUUUAGAGUUUGAGCUCCAUGAUUUUUAAGGAAUGCUUCAAUAUUUCCAUUAAUUUUUGAAGUCAACCCAAGGUGUCUCUGCAAGAUUGGUGACUUGUAUCUUAGACAAAAAAUUGCUAUACAUAUCAACAUAAUUGCAACGGUUGCACCAGUAACACCUGUUAGCAGAUACAGUAUAAUAGGAGCAACAAUGAACAUUUGCUAUACUAGGAAGUUGUCAAUUCACUCUAACUACAUUUUUCUUUAUUGUUGACUUAAAUUUACUGUAAACUAAAUUUUUUUAAUUUAAAACUUAACACAACUUUUUGCUUCCCAAUAAAUUUAAACUUUCGCCAAUAUAAUGAGCAGCAAUGACUCCUUCAACAUGAUCAGAUCCUAAAGGUGCAUUUCAUCAUAAGUAUUAAAAGAGUCGAGAACAAUAUAAGAAGAAUUUAUUACCUAUAAUAAUGAAUUUCUCUUUUUUGUUCCCUUUUUUGCCUGCAACUACGACAGUACCUAGUGAGAGCAAAGAGUACGUUAGACACUUAAAGUGUUAAUGAAAAUCUUGUUAUUCAGAGAGAAGAAGAAAACGUUCUACUUUUCACAACCAUUUUUUGGAAGAGGAAUUGUAAAUACUGCAUGAUCAUAUUUCAGUAACUUAUAUUUUGUUGUAAAACCAUAUAUAUUGCAAAAAAAAAAAACAGAGUGUGUGCAAAAAAUGGAAAAUAGAGUGUGUGAGAAAACCCUAGUCAUUUUCGAUACCGUUGGAAGAGACCGUGAAAGUGCAGCUAAUACUGGAUCUCACUGGUGCAGAAACACACAACGAGUGCGAUUAUUUUGAAUAUAUAAAUGCGGCUAUAUAGCCGCAUUUGAUGAGCACGCACUUGUAAAUCGAAGAGAUACAAAUGCGGCUAUAUAGCCACAUUUAUAAAUAUCAUUUACAAGUGCGGCUAUUUCCUUUAGUCGCACUUGUAUAUGCUUCCGUAAAUAAAAAAAAUAAUAAAUAUGUUCAAAUGUAAUCCACAAUGUCCAAGUUUGACGCGUAUCGUUGCCCUCUACACCCAGGAUCAUAGUCGCACGUCCAGGGAAGAUUCACGCCCUUCACUCUCGUUGCGUUCCUUCUUUUCCGCAGUUUUCCUCACUCUUCCGGUGGUUGCUCCGUUUUCGGCGGCCAAUCAAUGGAACAUGUCACGAUUUCAGUUGUGAAGAUGCAACAGAUCUUUGGUUCUUCUUCCUAUAUAAAGAGGGGUUUUCGUUUUCAUUUUCACACAUCUCUCACUCACAUUCUCCAUCUUUCUCAACCCACCGCGGUGCACCUUUCUUCUUCCUCUCAACUUUUCACCUUUUUCUCUUUCUCUCUCUUCAUUUAUUAUUUAUUAGUUCUUACUCUCUCAAAGUAACUUACUAGUUUUGAUCCUUAAAAAUUCUGAAAAUAUCAUGUUGUAUCCUGAGAGACUUACACAACACAAUGCAGAUAAGUCAUUACAAACCGUGAUUGUUCAUGUCUCGAAAAAUUAUUGUGUACGUGUUUUAAUACUCACAUAGUACAUAUUUUUCUGCAUUACUUCAACCGAGCUUCGUAAAAUUUAUGACAGAGGAAGAAGCAUUUGAGUCUGCUUGAUAAUCUCAAAUAAAUUUCAACGUUAUUUUAAAAUAGUAUUGGAUUUAAACCUCGAAACAUGUUAUCAUAUUAUGCAGACUUCAAAUGCAUAAUCCUAGAUUAUAAAUAUAUUUUCAAACUAAAAUAUAAAGGUAAGCAUUAAAUCAAUAAUUGAGCACUUCUUUUUAACAGAAAAAUUCUAUAGUGGAGAGAAAGUGAGAGAGAACAGAACAUGUUCCUCAGUGUUUUUCAUGCAUAUUAAAUAUACCAAUAGAGAAAAGAAAAGAAAAAACUCAGAACGGAAACAAACAGCAUAUGAUGAAUAGCUGGAGUGAAAAAAUGGUUAUUGACAAGGUCAAAGGUGGACACUGGGUCUAACCAAAAAUGAAACAGCGUAGAGAAGAAACAACGUCAAAUACUUGUAGGGACCAUCACAGAAUCAAACGCAGAAAGACUUGGAAAAAUAUGCAGUCAACAACCCUAGCUUUUCUCAAUGUCAGGUAAACGUAACUGUCACACAAACCUCUCACAGAUUUGUAUAGUAAAUGUGUACAAAUAUAAAAUUGUUAAAAAUAUACAUAAAGUUAUUAAUAAUUAUUUUGACUUAUAUUCUCAAUUUAUAUAUUAGCUUCUGAAAGUGUUAAAAUUAUAACACUUGAUACACUAAUCUUUGGAAGUCAAUUUCAACAUAUCCAUUAAACAUGUCUUAAUGCAAUAACUUAAUCAAUCUUUGUUUGGUUAUCAUUCUUCUUCCACAUGUGAAACACAUCACAAACACCAACACAGUGUUCAUAGUGUCAAACCAGAGAUUUAAUUCAAAACUAGUCUUGUCUCCAAUUAACAGGUUCUCAUUAUGUGAAGAAAAAAAAUGUGGUGGACUUGCUUAUUAUCGAAAUGUCCAAGUGCAACUGCCGCCAAUAACAAUUACUUGCCCUUGGCCCCAUAUAAACCCUUGACCCAACUAUCUUAUUAAAUUGGAUGUGUCUCCCAUGGGGACAUUUGAAUGAAAAAGGUACGACUUUUAAGGUAGAGAGGUUAAGUUUUUUUGAGAAAAAUAAGAAGAAAAAACAAAAUUAUAAUCAGUUAAAAACAAGUUUUUGCAGAAGUUAUACGUAACCGAAUAAAUUAUAAAAGUAAAAACUUAAAAAAUGACAUGACUAAUGUUGCUUUGAUGCUUUGUAAUGAAUGCAAUAUUUGUUCAAAUAACUAAUGUUGCUUUGAUGCUUUGUAAUGAAUGAAAUAUUUGUCUGAACUACUGUAGAAAAAUCAAGUUUAGAAUUUCUUAUAUAUUUUGUGGGAAGAAUGCAUAUGCUGAUAAGCUUACUAACUUAUGUUUUAUUCAUAAAGAAUAUUUUUAUUGGUAUAAUAGGUUUUCUUCUAGUCUUUUCGUAAGUUUUUUAUUAAUUUGUAUAGAUUAACUAUGUACGGUUUUGUUAAUAUAUAGGUUUUGGUCUAAUCUUUCAUAUUUUCUUGUAUUUUUUUAAUAAUAUUUUUUUAUAUUAUUGUUACUUGAAAUAUCAGUCUACAUGAGAUGUCAAGUUUCAUAAUAAUGUCUAAUAUAAGAGUUUUUAUUAAAAAAAACUUAUAAAUUAAUUUGUAUACCUUAAUUUUAACUUAUAGACAAAAUUAAUUUUAUUUUUUUAUUUUUUUAGAAGUCUUGAUGAUGUGUUUGUCUAAAAUGUAUGUGAGAACUCUACAAAUUAACUUAUAUAUGGAAAAAUCAAAUUCAAUUUCUAUUUCUUUGUAUCGUUUUAGUUUGUUGAAUUGGAUGGAGGGUUAGAUUCAAAGACAUGGUUCAUCUUCAUUUCUUGCAUCAAAAUCUAUUGUUUAAAUGUAUGGUUAAAGAUUAUGAACAUGGCUAGUAAUAAGUGAGCAGAAUAUUCAAAAGUUGAGAGGCAAAGAGACAUACUAUUUGUAAUGGUUUUGGGAGAACAGUGCAUGCCAUGAGAUCCAUUGGUGCAAUAGUAGCAUGAAUUCACUGCAUGUUUCUUGAUACCAUCUCUCCAGCAACGCCCUUCCCUUCCCAAGCAUCUUGCGCAAGUUUCAGAAACAUUAUACUUCACCACAAACCCUUCAUUCAGUUUUUCUUCCAAAGCAAGAGCUCCACCAGAAAAAUCCAUUUGAGCAUCACUCCAUGUGUGUAAUCUUUGCUUGCACCUUUCAAGUUGUGGAUAAUCAAUGAACAACCUAUCAUAUUCCAGUGCAAAAUAAGUGAUAGCAUCUUCUCCGCACAUAAAGUGUCCAUAAUGGAAAUUUUUGAUGCGGGGACAGUAGUAGAAUAUGGUAAUCUUUUGCACUGAAGGAGAAUCCUGGAACAAACCAGUGUGGCUCUCAUUCACAUCCUCAGAUAGUGGAGAACAGAUAUUUGCAACAGUUUCUGCUGGCACCAGUUUCAUGGUGUGAGCAGUGGUGUUGAUCUCCUUCACUGUGAAGUUUUGUGAGGCAAUUCGAACUGAAGUAGUGUUAUUAUCAUUGCAGGUGAGUUUGAAAGGAUCGCCACUGCCACAUUCAGGAGAACGAUUGUGACCCCAGAAAGGAUAGAAGAUGUUGGAGAGAUUUCCACAGUUGUAAGACUGAUUCUUACAAACUGAAUAAUCAAAAGUGGGAGAUGAUUGAGAGUGAGAGUGUGGCAAAGUGAUUAACAAUAGCCAACACAUAUUGCAAAUAUGGAUAUGAUCAUCAUCAUCCAUUGUAUAGGUUUCUUUGCCAAACUGUUCAACUUCUUUUGACAGUGAAUCCAAAACAGAUUCUCCCUGUUACUUUUGGUUUAUAUGAUAAAUGGAUGUUGAAACGUGAAGACAAAUACACAUUUUAUAAUGUCCUUUUAGAACGAUCCUUGGAAAAUGAUGACCACUUAUGUUAUGGUCAAAUAAGUUAAGUUUGACACACGAAAUAGAAGAAUAUUUUUGACAUUUUAUAUGCCCUAUAAAGGUGUAGAAAGAAGCUAUGAGUCUGUAAAACGAAAUAGGCUCAUAGGAAAGAUAAAAUAAAUAUAUAUAUAUAUAUAUAUAUCCUCUACCAAAAUUUGUGAAAUUUCGUCUUACUUUCUGAAAUUUUAUUCUGGAUCCGUAUUGUGCUAAAAAAAUUCACACAAGUACUUUCAUAUGUUUUUUGCAUCCACGUAAGGAAACAUAUUCACAAACAAAUCACAAAAAGAAGAUAUCGGGCAGAAAAGCCAGGACAUUUUGUUUUCGGAAAACUAGUUUUGUUCACUCUCGGUCUGGGACUUACUCCGCCUUACUCCUUGGGUAUUUUGGUAUGAAAUUUUUACCACACGUUCUUAACUGUGCCUAUUGAAUUUUGGCUGAGAUUUGAGCCUAAGAUUCGUCCCACAAGAUUGACAAUAAAUUUUUAAUUCAUUACUGUCAGGGCUGAAAGGAAGGUUCGUUUGUGUGAAACUGUUUGAUUAUUUUUGUGGGCGAAUAUUCAUCUGUUUGACCUGAAAUUUAUUGCGUUAUGUCCCAAAUUCAGUGGAGAUUCUUAUGUGGAAUUUCAGGAAAAAACUAUUUCGGGAGAAUUUUUCAGAAAUUUUGUGCAAACCAAGGGUAUAAUAUCCUAUACCAAAACUUGUGAAAUUUCGCCCUACUUUCUGAAAUUUUAUUCUGGGUCCAAAUUGUGCUUAAAAAAUUCAUAUAAGUACUUUCAUAUGUUGUUUGCAUCCAGGUAAGGUGGCACGUUCAUAAACAAAUCACAAAAAGAAGAUACGGGUGAGAAAAGCAAUGACGUUUUGUUUUCGGAAAACCAGUUUUGUUUACUCUCGGUCUACGACUUACUACGCCUUAGUCCUUGAAUAUUUUACCAGACGUUCGUCAUUAUUUCUACUGCGUUUUGGCUUAGAUUUGAGCCCCAAAUUCGUCCCACAAGAUUAGAAAUAAAUUUUUUAUUUAUCACUGCCAAGGCUAAAAGGAAGGUUCGUUUGUGUGUGAAACUGUUUGAUUUUUUUCGUGGUGAAUACUCAUUCGUUUGACCUGAAAUUUGUCGCGUUUUGUCCCAAAUUCGGUGGAAAUUCUUACGUGAAAUUUCAGGAAGAAACUAUUUCGGGAUAAUAUUUCAGAAGUUUUGUGCAAACCAAGGCUAUCAUCCACAAAAACUUGUGAAGUUUCCCCGUACUUUCUGAAAUUUUAUUCUCGGUCCGAAUUGCACUGAAAAAAUUCACACAAGUACUUUCGUAUGUUGUUUACACCCAGGUAAGGAGGCACGUCCAUAAACAAAUCACAAAAAGAAGAUAUGGGGGAGAAAAGCCAGAACGUUUUCUUUUCAGAAAACCAAUUUUGUUCACUCUCGGUCUGAGACUUACUACUCAUUACUCCUUGAGUAUUUUGAUCUGAAAUUUUUACAAGACGUUCGUCACUGUCUCUACUGAGUUUUGGCUGACAUUUGAGCCCCAGAUUCGUCCCACAAAAUUGGCAAUAAAUUUUUUAUUCAUCACUGACAGGGUGAAAGGUAGGUUCGUUUGUGUGUGAAACUGUUUGAUUUUUUUCGUGGGCGAAUACUCAUCCGUUUAACUGAAAUUUGUCGCGUUUUGUCUCAAAUUCAGUGGAGAUUCUUACGUGAAAUUUCAAGAAAAAAUAUUUCGGGAGAAUUUUUCAGAAAUUUUGUGCAAAUCGAAGCUAUCAUCUACCAAAACUUGUAAAAUUUCGCCCUACUUUCUGAAAUUUUAUUCUGGCUUCGUAUUGCGUUAAAAAAAUUCACACAAGUACUUUCAUAUAUUGUUUACACCCAGGUAAGAAGGCACGUCCAUAAACAAAUCACAAAAAGAAGAUACGGGGGAGAAAAGCCAUAACGUUUUGUUUUCGGAAAACCAGUUUUUUUCACUCUCGGUCUGGAACUUACUACUCCUUACUCCUUGAGUAUUUUGAUCUGAAGUUUUUACCAAACGUUUGUCACUGUGUCUACUUAGUUUUGGCUGACAUUUAAGUCCCAGAUUCAUCCUACAAAAUUGGCAUUAAACUUUUUUUUCAUCACUGUGAGGGUGAAAGUUAGGUUCGUUUGUGUGUGAAAUUGUUUGAUUUUUUGUGUGGGCGAAUACUCAUCCGUUUGACCUGAAAGUUGUCUCGUUUUUUCCCAAAUUCAGUGGACAUCCUUACGUGAAAUUUCAGGAAAAAACUAUUUCGGUUAAAUUUCUCAGAAAUUUUGUGCAAACCAAGGCUAUUCUCAAACAAAACUUGUGAAAUUUUGUCCUACUUUCUUAAAUUUUAUUUUGGGUUCGUAUUGCGCUAGAAAAAUUCACACAAGUACUUUCACAUGUUUUUUUCACCAAGGUAAGGAAGCACGUCCAUAAACAAAUCACAAAAAGAAGAUACAAGGGAGAAAAGCUAAGACGUUCUGCUUUCGGAAAACAUGUUUUUGUCACUCUCGGUCUUGGACUUACUAUGCCUUACUCCUUGAGUACUCUGGUCUAAAAAUUUUUCAGACGUUCAUCACUGUGUCUACUGUGUUUUGCUGAGAUUUGAGCCUCAGAUUAGUCCCACAAGAUUGGAAAUAAAUUUUUUAUUCAUUACUACCAAGGCUGAAAAGAAUGUUUGUUUGUGUGUGAAACUGUUUGAUUUUUUUUGUUGGCGAAUACUCAUCCGUUUUGACCUGAAAUUUGUCGCGUUUUGUCCCAAAUUAAGUGGAGAUUCUUACGUAGAAUUUCAUGACAAAAAUUAAUUCGGGAGAAUUUUUCUUAAAUUUUUCGCAAACCAAGGCUAUCAUCUACCAAACCUUGUGAAAUUUCACCCUACUUUCUGAAAUUUUAUUUUGGGUCUGUAUUGCGUUGAAAAAAUUUACACAAGUACUUUCAUAUGUUGUUUGCACCCAGGUAAGGAGGCACGUCCAUAAAAAAAAUCACAAAAAGAAGAUACGGGGGAGAAAAGCCAGGACGUUUUGUUUUCGGAAAACAAGUUUUGUGCACUCUCGGUCUGGGACUUACUACACCUUACUCCUUGGGUAUUUUGGUCUGAAAUUUUUACCAGACGUUCGUCACUGUCUCUACUGAGUUUUGGCUGAGUUUUGAGCCUCAGAUUCGUCCAACAAGAUUGGCAAUAAAUUUUUUAUUCAUCACUGUAAGGGUUGAAAGGAAGGUUUGUUUGUGUGUGAACUUGUUUGAAUUUUUUCAUGGCCAAAUACUUAUCCGUUUGGCCUGAAAUUUGUCACGUUUUGUCCCAAAUUCAGAUGAUAUUCUUAUGUGAAAUUUUAGGGAAAAACUAUUUUGGUAAAAAAUUUCAGAAAUUUUGUGCAAAUCAAGGCUAUAUCCUCUACCCAAAUUUGUGAAAUUUCGUCCUACUUUCUGAAAUUUUAUUCUGGGUCCGUUUUGCGCUGAAAAGAUUCACACAACUGCUUUCAUAUGUUGUUUGCACCCAGGUAAGGAGGGACGUCCAUAAACAAAUCACAAAUGGAAGAUACGGGGGAGAAAAGCCAGGACGUUUUGUUUUCAGAAAACUAGAUUUAUUCACUCUCGGUCUGGGAUUUACUACACCUUACUCCAUGGGUAUUUUGGUCUGAACUUUUUACCACACAUUCGUCACUAUGUCUACUGAGUUUUGGCUGAGAUUUCAGACCCAAAUUCGUCCCACAAGAUUGGCAAUAAAUUUUUUAUUCAUCACUCUCAGGGCUAAAAGGAAGGUUCGGUUGUGUGUGAAACUAUAUGAUUUUUUUGGUGGGCGAAUACUCAUUCGUUUGACCUGAAAUUUGUCUCUUUUUGUCCCAAAUUCAGUGGAUAUUCUUACAUGAAAUUUCAGGAAAAAACUAUUUCGGGAAAAUUUUUCAGAAAUUUUGUGCAAAUCAAGGUUAUCUUCUACUAAAACUUGUUAAAUUUCACCCUAUAUUCCGAAAUUUUAUUCUGGGUCCGUAUUGCGCUGAAAAAAUUUACACAGGUAUUUUCAUAUGUUGUUUGCACCCAGGUAAGGAGGUACGUCCAUAAACAAAUUACAAAAAGAAGAUACGGGGGAGAAAAGCCAGGACGUUUUGUUUUCGAAAAACCAGUUUUGUGCACUCUCGGUCUGGGACUUACUACACCUUACUCCUUGGGUAUUUUGGUGUGAUAUUUUUACCACAUGUUCGUCAGUGUGUCUACUGAGUUUUAGCUGAGAUUUGAGUCCUAGAUUCGUCCCACAAGAUUGACAAUAAUUUUUUUAUUCAUCAUUGUCAUGGCUAUAAGGAAGGUUCGUUUGUGUGUGAAACUGUUUGAUUUUUUUCGUGAGCGAAUACUCAUCUGUUUGACUUGAAAUUUGUCGCGUUUUGUCUCAAAUUCAAUGGAUUUCUUACAUGGAAUUUCAAGAAAAAAGUAUUUUUGGGAGAAUUUUUUAGAAAUUUUGUGCAAACCAAGGCUAUCCUCUACCAAAACAUGUGAAAUUUCGCUCUACUUUCUGAAAUUUGAUUAUGGAUUCAUAUUCUGCUGAAAAAAUUCACACAAGUACUUUCAUAUGUUGUUUGCACCCAGGUAAGGAGGCACAUCACAAAAAGAAGAUACGGGAGAAAAAAGUCAUGACGUUUUUUUUUUCGAAAACCAGUUUUGUGCACUCUCGGUCUGAAACUUACUACGCCUUACUCGUUGGGUAUUUUGGUUUGAAAUUUUUACCACACGUUCGUCACUGUGUCUACUGAGUUUUGGCUGAGAUUUGAGUCCCUGAUUCGUCCCAUAUACAUAUAUAUAUAUAUAUAUAUAUAUAUAUAUAUCAUUCUACACCCCAUGGUUUGAAGUUGUACGCCAUAGAGGUGGUUAAAUGUCAGAAAUACCCCCAGUUUAGAUUUAUAAAACAACUCUAUUUUGGAUUACACCAUUUAAGAUAUAUUUUGAGAUUUUUAUAUUCAUUCUGAAAUGCUGAACUGUAUACUUCGAAAUGCACGUUCAAAAUUGUAUUUUUAUAUUAGAAAAUACAUUAUAUAAUACAUUAAUACAUUUUAGAAUAUAUAAUCUAAAAUAUAUUAAUACAUUAUAAAUUUAUAUUUUGAAAAUGUAUUUCUAAGAAAUAUGUAUUUUAUAAUUUAUUUCUAGAAAAUGCAUAUUCUGGAAUGUAUUUCUAGAAAAUGCAUAUUCUAGAUUGUAUUCCUAAAAAAUAAAUAUUCUGAAACGUAUUUUAAAAAAAUGUAUAUUUUAGAAUGUAUUUUCAAAUCUAUGAAUACAUUCCAAAAUAUACAAUCUAAAAUAUAUUAAUACAUUCUAUAAUGUGUAAUUUAAAAUAUAUUAAUAUAUAUUUUAAAAUGUAUCUCUAGAUUCAUGUUAUAAUAUAUAUUCUAAAAUGUGUGAUUUAUAGAAUAUUAAUACAUUCUAGAAUUAACAAUAUGAAAAACAUAUUUUUGAAAUAUAAUAUUGAAAAUUUAAUUUUCUUGGAGAUGCACCAUCAAUAUAUGGGGGUGCAGAAUGAAAUUGCGAGGUUUUGAACCAUGUAAAUGUUUGGACCCUAAAUGUUGAACACUUCUCUAUUUUGUGGGCCGCUGGGCCGCACAGUGAUUAUUUGGUUUCUUCUUGCAGUGGAAUCGAGGCACGUGAUUAACAACAAUAAGAGAAAAAGAGUUUAAUAUUAUUCAGACUUUUCCAAGUAUGCUAAAUCUGAAAAAAAAAAUGAAAUAUCUAAUUAUCUUUGAUUUAUAUUUUGGUGAACUUUACAAAACAAAUUGUUCAUCUCAUCUUUCUCCUUUAACCUAUCGUUUUCUAAGGACAAAAUUGUAAUAAAUUUCAAAAAUUUAAAAACAGACAAUAUUUUAAAUAUGAUAAUUGAUCAUAAUGAUAUUAUCUCUUCAUACUUAAUUUUAAUAAAAAAUAAAUAAUUCAAUAAAAUAAAAACUAACACAUUUUAAAAAAUCUUAUAUAGUAUGACUUCACUUUUUCAAUACUUCUAAACUUGACUUUAAAAAAUCUUAUAUAGUAUGACUUCACUUUUUCAAUACUUCUAAACUUAGACUUUAAAUUGAAGCUAUAGUGAACUCCAUAUAACUUUAAUAAGAAAAAAUUAUAUGAAAGUCGUUUUACAUUAAUAUUAUAUUUUGAUUAAGCAGUUGAAUAUAAUUAACUAAUUUAACCUUUAAAUGAUGUUGUGAUAUAAUAAGAUGACUUCAAUCUAAAAGGAAUAUAAAUAGGUAUAUGACAAUAAAGAUUUUUCUUUAUUUAUGUGUAUUUUAUUUACAAUGAAGUCAUCAUAUCCUAUAACGAUUUGAAUUCAUUAAUUUUUGUUUGUAUUAAAUUAUGAUAUAACUUUUUUCUUAAAAUAAAAAGACUUUAUGUACUAAAUUUUCAAUUAUUUUAAUUUCUCUGUUGACAUUAACUUAAGAUUUUGUUUCGUAGAGAUUUAUUUUAUGUAUAUAAUUUCAAAUUUCAGUUUUAAUUCAUUUUUACUAAACUUUUCUUUAACAACAUCAAUCAAAAUCACCUAAAAAAGUCAUUAAUAUGAAUAUUUUUAAAUUAUUAAUUAUAUUUGGUAAUUUAAAUAACUUAUAUAAAUGAGAUGGUUAAAUUUCAAUAAAUUUAAAUUGUCUUACAUAAACAAAAUUUAAAAAAAUAAAAUUAAUUCAAAUUAAGUUUUUUUCAAAUAUCUUAAAAAUGAUAAAAUUCUUCAUCCACACAAAAAUACAAAAGGUAAAAAAGAAAUAAUCUGAAGCAAAUUUUGAACUUUUCUUUCCUUGGAACUACCAUUGGAAAUGCUUUAAAAAUUUCUCUUCAAAUCAUUUUAUUACAGUGCUCUAGAAACAGGAAGAUAUUAAUUUUCAAUGGAGAAUUUUCUUAAUGUUUUGUUCUAUGGUGCAAUGCAUAAUGCCUAAACAUUCGUUUUCAAAGUGGUAACGUCAUUCGUUUUCAAAGUAAGAAAUUGUUUAAGUUUCCAAACCAAAAUAUACCAAUCAAUCAAUAAGGAAAAGUUUUCAUUUGACACUACUAUUUAUCUACUGCAAUUGUUUUUAUAAUAAAAUAUUCUUAUAAUAAUAAAAAUAAAAUUAUGAAGUUGUAAUGUAAGAGAAAAAAUGGAGUUUCAAAGUAUCAUUACUGAAUAUUUCUACAUCUAACUUUUUUUCUAAAUAUUAUUAUAUUAUUAUAAUAGGUGGUCAAGUUGUUUAUUUAUUUAUUUUGUCUAAUUAAUAAUUUUCAAAAUAUAUAUAACAAAAAAUAAUUUUUCAAUUGAAUGAUACAAAAUUUAUUAAAAUAAUAAGUAUGUUGAUUACAAAGUGGAGGUAGAAAAAUCUUCUCCAUAGCUUAAUUGAAAGUUUGAUCUUGGAUUAUCUCCAAAGUUCUUUCAUUGUUUUUUUUUUCAGUGUCUUGAUCCUUGGUAUGUAUAUUUUCGAUUAAAAAUAAGUAAUUUGUUUUAGAUGAUUGAUCAUAUAUUUCACUACAAGAAAACCAUGAAAUAGAAACCAAUUUUUAGAAACAAAAAUAAUUAGUUGUAAUAGUAACUAAACUAGAGACCAUUUUAGAAACUCAAAAAAAAUGGUUUCUAAAUUAGUUUCUAUUAUUUUCUAUUAUUGUUAAAUAGUUUUUAAAUUGGUAUCUAAUUAGCAACCAAGGUUUUAGAAACCAAAUUUAGAAACUAAAUAAUUGGUAGUUAAAACUUGGUUGCUAAUUAGAAACUAAUUUAGAAACUAUUUAACAAUAAUAGAAACUAAUCUAGAAACCAAUUUUUUAUUUAGUUUCUAAAAUGGUCUCUAACUUAGUUACUAUUUUAACUAAUUAUUUUGAUUUCUAAAAAUUGGUUUCUAUAUCAUGAUUUUGAUUUUCUUGUAUUGUUUGUUUUGGUGUUUGUGAGAGAAUGUCUUAUUUGUUUAUAUUGAAUUGAACUUUAGGUGUUCAAUAUGUAUAAGAAUUGAAUCAUUCCUUAAAUGAUCCAUAUUUAUUUAUUUUUUCUUAUUGAUAAAAAAAUUAAAAAAAUAUCAAAAUAUUACCAUUAUGUAUAAAUAGUUGUACCACGUUGUUAGCAAUACAAUCAGUUCCAGCUUUCCUUUCUCAAUAGCUCUUAUAGUUCAUCAGAAUUGGUUCCCAGAAAAACUUCUCUAGAUCAAUUUCUUUUAUUAUCCAACGAAUCUGAAAGGCUUGAAGUUGAAAAAGAAAAGAAAAGGAACGCAUCCAAACCAAAACCAAACAAGGUAUAUUACGUGCACUAUAGAUAUUAUUUUACAACACAUCUUCUUCUUUGUGAUAGCUCACAUUUGGUAUUAGAGAAACACAAUGCCUAUUUAAGCCAGAUUUUGAUUCCUCCACAUAUUUUUUUUUAUCAGCAAUAUUGAUUCCUCCACAUUGCUUAUGCUAUUGUAUAUAGAAUAUAUAUACAUAUGCAGCAGAAACUAAACAUACUUUACUACUAAUUCUAUUUAGACCUUUUUUUUUUUGCAUGGACACAUCAUUCAGGAUCAUCACUUACAAAGUUUCGUGGAUUGCAGAAAUAUCUUAUACAUAUUUGUAAGUAGGGUAUGUGCUGCAACUUUUGAUGCACCUAGUUGUGCCUUGUUGUGGCUCCAUCAACAUCCACAGAGCUAGAACCUGAAGCGGUCAUGUCUCCAUCUGUCUGUGUUGCUGAGAAACUAAAAGGAAACUCAUUACCAAACGCUUCUGUGCUGUAGGGUUGAUUCAGUGACCACUCGCAUCCCAUUUGUGUGUUGUUAUUUGCAACAUAGCUGCCAGAUUUCUCACUGUAAUAAUGAUUCUGAUCAUAUGUCACUACUGAUGCAGAAGGUUGAUCACCUGCAGUUAUUAAUUAUGUUCACAUAAAUGUCUUACUCAUGUUCUUUCAUAAGAACUGGGUUCUUACUAUUAAAAAAAAACAUUCAUCUGUCAAAAAUAUCCAAACAAUAUAAAGAAUAGGGUUUAUUGCCUGUGGAACCUUUUUUAAGUUCUUCAAUUAAAAAUCUAAAAAUUCGUAAAUAAAUAAAUGUUCUAUAAGAUAUUUUUAAGAAGUAAAGUUUAAACCUAAUUCAAUCUUACAAAAACUGAUUUAUAAGAUAAGAAUUACACCCACUUAUAUAUUAUGAUAUAUAGUAAUCACUAGCUGAUGUGAAAUUUUCAACAACACACUCUUUCACAUCAAGACGGUGAACUUUUGUGUGUAACUAUAUAUUAUGGGUGUCCGAUAGCGGGUGACCUAAUAUACACCUAACAAAACAAAUUUUCGCUAUGAUAGACUCAAAAUAACUAUAAUAUCAUAUUAAGAAAUGAAUUUAAGUAUAACUCGACCUUAUAAAACUGGCUUAUAAAAUAAGGUUCGCAGUUACUUAUACAUAGCAUUUAUCUAAUUAUAUAUAAUUCAGCAUAGGUUAAAAGGAAGAUACCUUGGAUUAAAACAGCAAUGUUAUCGUUCAGAACCCCAUCUAUCUCCUCCAAGUUAGGCCAUUUUGCAUAUGCUUCUCUCACCAAUUUGUCUAUGUAAGCCUGCAUGUGUCAAAAAAUUUAACAUAAGGGUGUAAUCCAGAUAUAAAUCAAGGGGACAAAUUGUGUCCAAGAUAGCAGAUGAUUCAUCAUGGUACCUUGUUCAAAUGGGGAAUUUGAUCUCUGUUUGAAAAUGUCUGUCCAUUGACCUCUGCUCUAACUAAUUUGCAAAUUGGAUCCAGAAAAAUAGUAAAGUGUGGUCCAUGAUAAAUGUACAACUUGCUCCCCAUCUCACAACUCAUUGCAUGUUUGAUUGCCACUUCCCACAUUUUGUCUGACAUCGACACGCCCAAAAUCUGGUUGCAGAAACAUUUAAUUAACAAAAUAUCAUUAAUUUCAUAUAGUUACUUCAAUAAUGAAAAAUCUCCUUGACUAUUAUGAUGCAAAGAUAGAUACAUUUCUUAGCUUAAGAACAUCAACAACUGCUAGUUUAAGAAAUUCUUGGACUGUUUUUAUGCCCUCAGAAGACAACUUUUUGUGGUAAGGUCCAUCUUUACCGAUCUUUUCCAGGCGCCACACUUCGUCAUGAAGCAUUGGAGGGUAGCGUUUUCUGUACACUUCAAAAGUGUAAAAAUGAAGUUAAUCACAACCAAGAGACAAAUUUUUUUACUGUUUAUAAAAUAUAAUUUUUUUAUCUAACAAUAAUAGAUCAUGAUGAAUUAACUCUUAUAUAAUUCAUCAACAACAAAUAUAGUUAGUCAACAAAAUCCUGACUAAACUACUCUAAUACCAACCAAAUUACUAGAAAAUAAGAAUCUCAAAAACCAGAGAACACGGCAAGGAUCGAAUUUAGACAAAUUAUAAAUUCAAAACACCAAUUUAAAUAAGAAAAACAAACGAAGAUGAUAAACUUCUUUCAGUGGCAGAAGUUUAUGGAGAUUAGCUUAGGUUAAACUAAUACUAAUACAAGAUUAUCCCUGAUGAAACCCCAAGAAAGACCCCACUUAAGAAAUUAACCACCAGGCUUGUUUCUUGAUUGGUUUCUCUUAAAGUUGAAACCAUUGACUUGAGAUUCAUUUAUGACCACGAUUUGAAAAUUAGAAAGUAGAACCAAAAGAUAUUAUACGUAACAAUUAUUUUGAAAUCAAUAACGUGCUCUUGAUUUCACACCAAUGGUGGGACCCCUUGAGAAUCUGACAACUAUUAGAUGUUGGAUGCUGCAGAAGGUUUUUGGCUUUCUAUUUGACUAACUGUCACUUUUCGGUUGUCACAAAAGAACAUCCAGACAAAACAGAAGAAACAUAAGUACUGGAUUGACCAUAACUUGAUAACAUGUUACUACAAAUUUUAUAUUUCGUUUAUUUAUAAAAAUGCAAAGAAUGGUUAAUAUCAGUUAUAUGUGGUAAUGGAAUUUAUGGUAUAAAACAAAUUUUCUUUGUGAUAAUAUAAGAUCUGUCAAAGUCAGCUAUGUCAUCUUUUUAAGGCACAUGCAUGGACUAGAAUUUUUUGAUUCUUCUGAUAAUCAAGGCAACAGCGAUUGAAUAAAGAGACUUUUCCUUUAGAUAUAGACUUUCCUUUGAGACUAAUAGUUAUUAACAACCCAUGAGUCGAAGAAAAGAAGAAGAAUAUUGCAGAAUAAUUAUUAUAACACCAACUAACUAGCAAUAGCAGUUAUUGCUAGCUAAUAUGAACUACUAAUAUAUUAAAGUGAAACAAACGGUCAAAGCUUAUCAAGCACCAAAUAGGUUGGUUAAAAUUAUUGUGAGUUCGACAAGAACAUUUGGUAAAAUCAACUAAAGUACUUCGUCAUCAUGUUCACACAAACAACAAUCAUACAAAAUAAAACGUCACCAAGUUGGUUACAAUGACAAAUAAUGCAAAGUGGUAAAUAAUUAAAGACAAGGUUUUGAAAGAAAUUGUUGACACUCGUUAAUUUUGAUGUAUCUUAAUCUCUCAUCAAUUAAUUCUUCUUUUAAUUGGCAAGCAAAUUAAUUUUCAGGGUACAAAGAGUACACACAAAUGAAGUUGCAAUUCAUAACUAUACAUGAGGAGGAAAUUGUGGGAAGCACCAAAGAUAGGUGGUAACUUUGGAUAAAAGGAAGAUGUGAUUGACAAAACUUUCAUCACACCUAUAGAAUGAGUAGUAAGUAAUAGUCUUGUUCUUAAUUAGCACAUUCUAGUAGAAAAAUAACUUGGAAUAUGGUUGUGUAGAUCAUGGUUGAACUACCACUGAGUAAUAAAAAACAGUAUAUUAACAAAACAAAAAAAUAUGAAUAGUGUAACUUACAUUCUCCACGGUGAUCCUUGACAACAAAUGCUUCAGUCAUUCCUUCACGAAUCCGAACUCCUUGAGUACUUCCUGGUGCUACUCUCACUGCAACUCUGAACUUUCUGCAGCGAAUCCAGCUAGAGUUAUCUGUGAAUUCCAUGUCCCCAGUUGGUGCAAUUCCAUCUCGCAUGAUCAAGUUCAAUUCUCCUGCAAGUAAAGGUCUCUUCCCCGGUCUCUCUUUCAAUAUGUGUCUGUUAAAUUCAUCACUCGUCCAACCCUCGUUUUCAGAAGGAGUAAAAUCUCCAUCAAGAGCCACAAUCUCUAGCUUGAUGGCAUGUGGGAGACUUGUGGGUACCAUUUGGUUAUUGUUGCUUUUUUCCAUCAGAACUAUGCUCAUGGGGUUCUCUUCAAAGUCAAGAAUCCUGCUACUUGUGAAAAUUGGAAGGAAAAGCCUCUUGCUGAACCCUAGUUGCAAGCUUGAUGGCUGCUCCAUUGCUCGAAGUCUCAAUGAAGGAGACCUAUGGGAGAGUGACCACCGUCUCAAACCUCCCUCAAGUUCCUCACUCACCUGAUAAAAUAGUGAUAAAAUUUAGUAACAAAAAAUUUCAUAGUCAAUUAGAUAACAAGAAACGAACUUCUUAAAAACCUACCACUCUUCUAAGCACAGGUUCCAAGGCAGUGAAAAGAUGCUCCAAGUUAUUUACCAUGACCACAUCUCCAAUUACACUGUCCAAAAAUAGAUGAAUGAGAAGAGUGAAAAGUUAAGUUGAGACACAAGACAUAUAACAUAGUGAAGUAAGCAUUAUAAAGGGAUCAAACAAAGUAGAGAAAAGAGGAAGUAGAUUGAAGCAUGAUGAGAUAAACCCUAGCGCUAUAUGAAGUGCAUAAAAAGUACAUACGAAGCAAAAGACGGUCUAGCAGUGUUAUUUCUCAUCCGUUUGUCGUCUGGCUUAUCAUCAGGGUCUCGUUGAGAAUCAUUGAACAAUCUUUUCGCCGCCAUUUUCGGUGAAGAAUCUGAUGAGAGUGAAACUGUUUGGUGUGUUUGAGGUUAAUUGAAGUGAUGAAGCAGGAGGGGGGGGAGCAAAAGAAAGGGGUUCGUUCGCAUUUUAUAGCUCUUCAUACACAUAUUGCGUGUUGUUAUUAUUAUAAGAAUAAACACUACAGCGAAGGUUCAUGGAAUAUUGGAGGAAAUAGCGUAGCACUUAGCCCGAUCAUAACGUUGUGUACAAUGGUGCGUACGAAUGAUGCAACCACUUGGGAGUCAAGAUUUCAAGAAUCGAAGGGCCAUUAAAAGUCUACCAAUCACUUUCACUUCUCUCCAAAGCUAAAUCACCAUGGACCUUCUCUAUUUAAGGAAUACAAAGGUAUUAGAAAAAAAUAUUGAAGACGUGGCAUUCUUCAUUUGGUUAGUACACUAAUUUGUAUCAUUAAACUACUCUUUAAACAUACUGUAAACAUAAUUAAAAUUACUUUGUAUAUAAACUAAAAUUUUGAUUUUUUAAACAAAAUUAUAAAAGUUAAUCUAUAUAUACUAUGAUUUAAAUAUAUAAAAAGUUAUUUUUUUUUUCUUAAAAUGAUUUAUAAAGAGAAAUUAUGGGUUAUGUGACAACAUCAAGAAAUGCUACAAGGAUUUCAAGGAAAAGGGUGGAAAACUUAUAAAUAAUAAUUAAUUAAAAUCAUAUGUCUAUAACGUUCAAAUCUCAGAAUUCUAAAUAUGUGAAUUUUAAGUGUGAUUAAAUUUACAAAACUUUCCUCAGACUUAGAGUUUUUAACUCGGUUUUAGAUUAUGUUAUGGAUGGUUUGACAGGAUUUUGAAGGCGAAUGAUCUUAUAAGUUCAAUAAAUUUUUGUUAUAAUAAAUUUUUACUACUAUAAAGAUUUUCUUGAAAUAUAAAUUAAUUUUAGAGAAAAAAAAUAAUUAAUUGACUAAAUUAGAGAUCAUUUUAGGGACUAAAUAAAUUUUUGGUUUCUAAAUUAGUUUCUAUUAUUGUUAAAUGGUUUAUAAAUUGUUAUCUAACUAAAAAUCAAGGUUUUUGCUAUCAAAUUUAGAAUCUAAAUAAUGAGUAGUUAACUUUGAUUAUUAAUUAGAUAUCAAUUUAUAAACCAUUUAAUAAUAAUAUAAACUAAUUUAGAAACCAAUUAUUUUUUAGUUUCUAAAAUGAUUUUCAAUUUAGUUAUUAUUGCAACUAAUUAUUUUAGUAUCUAAAAAUUGAUUUCUAGUUAAUGAUUUUCUUGUAGUGUCAUAAAUAACUUUGAUAUCAUCUUAAGAAAUUAAUCUCAACCUUACAAAAUCAGUUUAUAAAAUAAAAUUUACAUUCACUUACUGUGAUAUUUCACAAGAACUUUUAAUCAGAGUUCAAAUAAGUACCCUUUGUAGCAAAAACUACAAUUAAUUCAUCAUUUAUAUUGAAUUCUGUUUUUUUUUUUCCUAUAAUUUGCUUUCUUGUUGUGUUUGGCUUCUGUUUUGAUCUCAAGGGUGAGUGCUGUUACAGGACAUUUUCUGGGAAGGAUCGACGAUGUGGAUGCGUGUUGUGGGUGUACCGCGUUCUCUGAGGAAACUGAUUACAAAGAAACUGUCUGGUAAUUACAUGAACCGCAGCAAAAAGACAAAAAUUAUUAUUCUCACACUCUGUUUUAUUUGAAGACAAAAUUUAACUUUCUUCUGAAUGGACCAGAGUCCUGUACGGUUUCAACUUCCACACAAGUGUUUCAAUGGUUAACUCCAUUUAAGCUGCGUUCUUCUUUCUAGCUUUUAAUCAUGGCAGGCACACACAUCAUUGGAACAUCAUUUUUUUUAUGUCAAGUUUUAUAAUUCAUACUCAACUCACCAUAUUCAAUAAUUAUUUCAACUUAGUUUAAUUAAAAAGCUUGUUUUUUUUCAUAAAGCAAGUAUAAUUAUGUGUAACAUAGGUACAAAGAUACCUAACUCUUAUAUAGAAAUGUAAAGUUCACUAUUUUAAUGAGCACAUAUUAAAAUAUAAAGGAGAAACAAAAUCCUUUUAACUUUUAUUGGUAAUCACACUUUAGAUUUAAAUUUAAUGAUUUCUGUACUAUAAAGAAAUUUAACUCAUUGUUGACUAAAAAUAAUAUUAUUCUUAUGUGAUCAAAUAGAUUAUAUAGUUGCAAACCAUCAAAAAACUUAUUCAACAAAGACAAGUGAAAGAUGUAUAGGUAUUUUUGUUGUACUUGUUAUUUAUUUAUUUUUCAUUGUGUGCAGCUUAAUCUUGAUGAGGGAUGUUUGUUUUUGUUUAUUGUUUAGGAGAUUUUCAUUUAUUGAUGGUAUAGCACUACAAGAAAAUCAUGAAAUAAAAACUAAUUUUUAGAGAUCAAAAAAAUUAGUUGCAAUAGUAACUAAAUUAGAGAUCAUUUUAGAAACUAAUAAAAAUUUUGGUUUCUAAAUUAGUUUCUAUUAUUGUUAAAUAGUUUCUAAAAUGGUAUCUAAUUUAGUUACUAUUGUAACUAAUUAUUUUGGUAUCUAAAAAUUGGUUUCUAUUUCAUGAUUUUCUUGUAGUGUAGUUGGGAAUUGAGUUUUGAAGGGCACGGACACCAAUUGUUUUAGUGUUAAUAAUUAAUAAAUAUUCUCAAUUCAAAUUAUUUUUAUAAAUAAAAUAAUAGAUUAAUUUGUUUAUUCUUAUAAAAAAAAUGCAUAAUUGUUAAUUUGGAAUUAAUAAAUUACCUUCCUUACUAAUGGUUACAAAAUUUAACUCCCCUACACAAAAUGAAAGACUUGGACAACGUAUAUUUCAAGGUAUGUUGCAUUGUGAGAAUAUUAUGUAUUCCCGUGAAUAUUUGGUUGGUAAUUUAUCAACUUUAAAGAGAUAUUGAAGUGGAAUUUUUUGGUUUUUUUUGGAAAGUAUUUGUAUGUUCCAUACUAACACUUAGGCAUAGCAAUGAAAGUGAUGUGUGUUUUAUUAUCCACAUCCUCAUUUCAAAAGUAAAUGUUUAUGUGAAUGAAUAUGAAAUUUUUUAUAUCAAUAAAUAAUAAAUAUACUCAUAUCCACUCUUUACAAUUUUAAAUAUUAUCACUUGAAGUCAUAUUAUAAGAGGAAGAGUGGUAUGUGAAAAAAUGGAGAAUAAUCACUUAAAGUAAACUCAUACUCUUUAAAUAAGGUAUGAUACACUAUAAAAAAAAUUAUAAAAUAAAAAUUAAUUCUAAAGACAAAAUAUAUUAGUUGUUAUAGUGACUAAAUUAGAGACAAUUUUAGAGAAAAAAAAAUUAGUUUUCAUUAUUGUUAAAUAGUUUCUAAAUUGGUGGUACCUAAUUAACUAUUAAGGUUUUAAUUACCAAUUAUUUAGAUUCUAAAUUUGGUAGCAAAAAUCUUGGUAGCUAAUUAGAUACCAAUUUAAAAAAAUCAUUUAAUAAUAAUAUAAAUUAAUUUAGAAACCAAAUUUUUGUUUAGUUUCUAAAAUAUAUCUAAUUUAGUCAGUAUAGUAACUAAUUAUUUUUUUUUCCAAAAUUGAUUUCUAUUUGAUGAUUUAUUUUUUUUGUAAUAAUAUUAUAGAUAGGAAAAAAAAGUAAUUAAUAAAAAAACUCUAUUAAAAUAGUCCACCAUAUUUUUCAGUGAAAAUUGUUAUCUAACAAAAUGGAUUAAAAACAUUGAAUUGUAAAAGUUCAUUUAUUUGUUUUUGGGAAUAGGAAGCUUCGUGGCUCCUUCCUUCUUCCUACGUCCAUGUCUCUCAUGAGCUUGGACUUCCCAAUCAAAUCUAGUGGAAUAAGAAAGUUGCCGGCCAUUAAAAUUUGUCAAAACAGCAUGCAAAUGUGAUAGAACAGACAGAUUAUAGGUACAAGUGUCCUUCAAUUUGACUAGAAAAAAACACGCACACAAAACUUAAUUAAUUCCAUUUCUAAAUUCUAGGGUAAUUACUCGAUGAUAAACACGUUUUCUGUUAGUGUUACCUCUACUUUUAGGUCCAUAAAUGCCCUAAGAGGUUUCCCAGAAAAUAUGAAGCAACAUGGUGUGGAAGAAUUUGCAGCAUAAUGACCAUUGAUGUUGAUGUGUUACAAAUUGCUCUGAGGAAUUUGAAGAUGCUUUCAAGUACUUUCGUCGUAACGUUGUAGAACUUUUGUGGCCUAUAAAACAUUGUCAAACUAUGCAUUAAUCUAUGUCUUUUAGUCUUUGAGUUUGGACUUGUUGAAUAUGUUGUAAUAAACCUACCUCUGUAACGCGGCAUGGUUAAUUUUCUUAUGUGUUGUGUGAAUUGCUGAUUAAUAAUUAAUGUAAGAAUAAUUUCAUUGUAAACCUUGAUUAAAUUAUUAAACUCUUUAGGGGUUGACCAUUUGUGGAACCAUGUAUAAUUAACUGAGGGUUUGACCAUUUAUUAAACUUUGAUUAAUUUGUCAAAUCAAUUAUGUGUGUGAACUAGAAUUGAUCAAAUUUGAUCAUUGGUAUAAGUUUGAUUGUAAACAUGUUCAAACUCCAUUUAACUUUAAUUUUAUAAACUUUGCUCUCAAGUUACUUCUUAUUAAAACUUGUAGUUCGAUUUCUACGUUUUUGUUGGUUUAAUUUUUAACUAUAAGGAUUUAAUGUGUUUUUAGUUUGGCGAGUGAGAUUUGAUUUUAAUCUCAGUAAAAAAGUUUAUUUUAAUCUCUCUAAAAUGAAAAAAAAAAAAAAUUAUCAAUUUUAGUCUUUAUGGUAUUGUGUUACACUAAUUUAAUUACUUAUUUAUGUUGAAAAAAAGAGUAAAAGAUUAUUUAUUUUUAAUGCGAAAUAUUAAUAUUGUAAUAUAACGUUGACAUGUGACACCUGAAGUUCUUAAAAUUUGUAUAAUUUAUUAUCUAUCUUAAAAGAAAUAUUAAGAACUAAAAAUAGUCAUCUAACAAUCUUUAGAGAUCAAAAUCAAAGAAAAAUAUUAUAAAAAAAGUUCAUGCCUUUUAUUACAAGGGCUAAACAAUUAUUUCAAAAGCAACAUAAGUAAAAUCAAAACUUAAUGAAUUUUAUAAAGAUUCAAAAUUCAAAAUAUAUUUAAGCCUGAUAUAAAUCAUCAUAAGAAUAAAAUAAAAUAAAAUCAUAUUUAUAAAAUACAAUCACCUUCUAUUAAUUUAUUUUUAAUAAUUACACUAAUUUAAUAAUUUUAAAAGAAAAUCAAUAAUAAGAAAAGCUAGAUUAGGGUAUUUAGUAAAUAAACAAAGUAAAAAGUUUGAAGAUUAUAAAAAAGAGCUUAAAAAAAGUUAGAGUACUAAUAAAACUUGAAAGUUGAAUAUAUAUAACUAUAGAGAUAAUACUUUUAUACAAGGAUUUUUAAUAAUUGAAGGUUGUGCCUCUUUUCUUCAAAGAUAUUCUUUAUAUAUAUAAAGUAAACAAAAAAGAAUGCUACACUCCUUAAAAAAAUCCACUUAACAACCAAAUACUAAUAAUAUAAUAAUUAUAUUAAAAUUUAAAAUCUCAUAAAAGUAAAUUACAUUAUUGAUGUAGAGUACAAUGGUGGACAUUGACCUACAAACUUCUAACUUAUUGGAAAUCUUUACUAUUCGGUUGCCAAACUUUUCUUACUUGUUGAAUCUUUUGUCUUUAUUUGAUUUAUUGAUAAUUUUUAUUAGUUUAGUUGCUUCUUUAAUUAAUCAAACAUGUCUUUAUGUGAUUAGGGAUGCGGAUAAAAAAAAUACUUCUGAAUCCCUUUUCUAAAAUAUAAUUUUAAAUUUAAAUGUUUGAAACAUAUUUUUGAAUUCUGGAAAUUCUUUUUCAAAAUAUAUUUUAGGAUUUAGGAUUUAGAUUGUCUUUUAGAAUUUUUUUUUCCAAACUGUAUGUUUUGUAUUCCAGAUUUAUUUUUUAAAUUUUCGAAUUAUAUUUUUUGAAUUUUAAAUUUUCAAAUCUACGAUAGAAGGUCAUUUUAGAAAAUUUGAAAGAUGAUAGAAUGCAGAUUCGAAUUGGUACAAAAGAAGUGUUGUUUUAAUAAGUGGACUGUCCCAGAUUUUGGCCCAAAACUUUACUACAAAGAUCUGGUCAAAUACAAUUUUUUCUUCAUGCACCCUCAAAUUUCUAACUGUAACUCUAUAAUUUUUAAAAUAACAAUUUUACCUUUCAGAUGCUAAUAAUGUAGGGUAUUAUAAUUAUAAUUUACUACAUUUUUAUGUCUAAACAUAAGGCACAUGUAUUCUUAAGAACAUUUUUCAUUUUCAUAUGGUAGUUUACUUUUCACUUAAUAUCUAUUAUAUAUACGAUCAGAGCUUUAAUAUUCAAUUUAAUAAAUUCAUUUAAUUUUCAUAUUAUACAUAUAUAUAUAUAUAUGUAUAUUGAUAUCAUAUAUCCAAUUUUUAAUCUUAUAACACUUAAGAAUUUGUAGUAGCAUAUAAAAUUAAUCAAUUCAAUGGUUUUAUUGCAAAUUAGUAUACAGUAGAUUAAGUUUACAAAACUUUAUUGGGAAAAAAAUCAGUAAUAUGUGAAGAAAUAUAAAAUAACAUUAAUGAAUAGAAGAAAAGAAAGGGUCAAAUUCUUGGUACCCCUGAAUUGAGUACUUGAAUGUGAGUAUGUGUAUGUUCAACCCAAAAAAUAUGUAAGAAAACAGAAAUGAAUAUGAACAAACAAAAAAGAAGAAUAUGGAGAGAGAAAUCAAUUGAAUUGCAUGAGCUUUGGAGCAAAUCUGAGCAAUCUAUCCAAAGCAUGAGUGGUGAAUUUCCUUGCAAACAAAUGACAAAUGUUGGUGGUGUGACCAUUGUAGUCACAUGAUGUUCCAAACCUCAGCUUGUUCAAAAACUCAUUGUUCACAUCAUUUCUGUAAUACCUUGAAGGAUGAGCACCACCCUUUGCCCAAUCAACCCAUGUCAAGGUCCUAUUGGAGUUCCUCUUCCAAAACUUGAUGCUGACAAAUGUGGGCAAGUAGUGUUCAUCACUGUAGCAAUUGGGGUUGCAGUACUUUAAGAACACUGGGAAGUAGUGGUAGUCAGAGACUGUUUGAAGGGCAAGAAAACGGUCUAUUUGGAACCAUUGAGACCCUUUUCUCCAUUGGGAGAGCCUAAUCUGAGGCCUCAUUUGGGUCCUGUACCUGCCACGCCCCACUUCCCCUGGCAGAUCAUAGGCCUCCACAAAGGUCUUUGUUGAGUUCAUUAGAUAAGUGUAGAUGGUGGAGAAGUUGAACAAAGGGAUGCAUGACUCUGAGAGUAGUACAAAACGUUGGUUGCUGAAAUCAAGGAGUGCAUUGGCUAAUAAGCGUCUCUCUGCUUCUAUCAUGCUGUUCUCACCCCACCUCACUUCCUGCAUCAUUUUCACAGCACAGUAUCAUAUCAGAUUAUGAAUUUUGGGACAUGCUUUAAGUCCAAUGAUUGAAAUUCUCAGUUCACCAAACAAAAGGGUUGCUAAUGCAUGUUUUGUCUUCGUAAAUUUGGUUUUCAAAUUCAAAAAGUAUAUAAAUUUGUCAUUUCUAACUUUUUCUAACUUUUAGAAUGAAUUCUUAGAGAUGAAGGGUUAAAUCUGCAUGUUUUCCAAAGCUUAAAGAUCAAAUUCUUCUGCAUGAAAGUAGAUAAUAGUGUAUAUGUAUUUUCUAAAGUUGUUCAUGUUGUGUUUACCAUCUAAACAUAAAUGAAAUAGCAGAAAGGUGCAUUUAUUCUGAGCUCAGAUUCUUUUUCUCAUGCUAGAGACCGGGUAUAUGAAGAAAGGAAUUGUGAAAAGAAAAGUCUGAUGGGGGGUUGAAUAAUUGGUUCUUGAAAUAGAAAAGAAUAGAAUUUUCUUGGAAGUGCAAAAGGAGUGGAAUCAAAGAAAAGUAUGACCAGUUUGUAUUGACUGUCCAAUUCAGGAAGCAACCAAAAAACAGAAACAAAAAUGAACAUUCAACAGAUUCAGUGGACCUUAUACACUGUUCAGUUUUGUAAAAUUUAUUUACCUCCCAUGUUAUAUAGUAUUGAUACAAAAUACAGACAAAAAACAUGGAUAACUAGCUAACCAUGAAGAAAUUGGAAUUGUUAAAGGGUUUGAACUUAAACAUUGAAGUUCAUUGGAAAAAAUAAUGUGCUGAAAAAAGCAUAAGCUGUCUCAAAAGAUCUUAUUUAAAGGCAUUGGUACUGAUCUUUUUCAGCCUUUUAGCUGAAGUUGUUCUUUCAUCAAAACUCUUCUUACAAGCAAUCUUGCAGAAAAUUCAUAAUAAUGUGUGCAACUAUAGAGACUUAAUCACACGUUACAAAGUGUCCACUUGUUCAUGCAGACAAGUGUUUCACAAGUUAGCAGUUUCCUAAAAUAAUUUGUAACAGGUAUUUCCCUAAAAGAUCAAGUGCACUAGUAGCUAAAUACAAGUAACCUUGCCAAGAUAAUAACACAAGGUGUGGACAAAUACUAAAUUUGAUAUUUUAGAAAAUUUAAAAAAGAUUAAAAAAGCUAAAAUUAUAAAUCAUUCUUAAUUUUAUUAUGAACUCGAGUAAUUGAGUAACUUAAAAGUUGUAAAAGUCAGCAAUGGAAUCCGAAAAGGUGAUAUGGUGAAUGAAACUGGAAAAGUUGCAUCUUUUACUGCUUUUGGGAAAAAUCAAUUAUAGGAUUAUGGUUCUUGCAGAAAUGGUAAAUAUCAUUUAAGAACCAUUUUAGGAUGAGAAAAUUAAUUAUCUAUUUAAUUUUUUUGCUAAUUUCAAAACUCUACUUGAUCACAUAUAACUGGAAAACACGGAUUCUUAAUGAAAUAGGAAUAAAAAGGAGAAAUAACUAAGAAAGAUAAAAGAAAAGUUCAUUCCAAUCUUGAUACAUUGUUGAAUUAAUCUUCCUUACCUGUUUUAAACUAUAAUCACCAUAUAAAAUUCAAUACAACUAUAAAAAAAUAAUGUUAAUUUCUCUUUCACUUUAACAAUUCUUUGUCAUUUUUGUUCAGUAGAAAUGUGAAGAGACUGCAAGAAAAACAAAAACAGACAACCAGGUACUAGGUAAUAAUGAUACAUUAACAAAUCCAUCAGAUAACUAGAUUGAUAAUGAUACAUUGACAACUUCAUCCAGAGAUUCACAGAAAAAGUGUAUUUUGUCAUUUCAUAAAGAAAACUGAAAUUUUAGAUAAGAAAAAUGGAGUUGUAGACUGUAGAAAUUGUGAAUAUAUCAUAUAACUUUUCAUCUCUUAACAGUUAUAAAAGGUGGAAUGCAGGAACUGACCUUACUAGGGAUAUUGCGGCCAUGAAAGACAGAGUUUUUAGGCACUGUUUCAUUGGAAGAAGGGUAGGAAUGGACAUAGAUGGAAUACAACCCUUCAUUUCCUUUGAAAAAUCUCUCCCACAGAGGAGCCAACAGCACAGGCCCUUUUGUCAAAAACAUGAAUGCAACCUUUGGGGUCUGUUUGAAUGGGAGUUUGUGAAUCAUGGGAACCAUGGAGGCUUUCCACAACAACUCUUCAUCACUCAUAUCAUGCAUGGCCAUGGGGGACUUCAAGAACUCACUCAAUCCAAUCCUGGUGAAAUUCACCACCUUUGUGACCAAGGUGGAAUUAGAAGAAGGUAUGGUUUGGUUAUCCUUCUGGGGUGAAGAUGAGGUGUUUUUCUUUCCAGAAUCAAGGACUAAUCCUUCAAAACAGUGAGACUCAUUCUUUGUUUUGAUGUCUGGUAUUGGCAAUGAGAUAUUGGAGGAGAUUGGAGAGAAAGGUGGUGGUUUGAGGGUGUUGGAUGGGAGGGAGAAUUGCUGGAUUUGAAAGUUGAUGAAGGAGAAAUUCUUGACAAAGAAAGUGAGUGUGAUUCCAAUGAGUAAACCAAUGCCAAAAACUAGAGCAUGACCAAAGAAGUUGAGAAGGUCUAGUUGAGCAAAAAAAAGGUUCAGAUAUGAUCCUGCACCUUUGCCAUCACCUUUGCCCUGUUGCUCCUUGUUCUUCAUUGUGAUGAGACAAAUUCAGAAUAAGCUUGGAACAGUUCAGAAUAACCAAGAAUGUUAACUCUGAGAGUUUUUUAUACAGUGAGAGAGAUUGAAGAAGAAUCCAUGAAGCUUGAUUCUGGACUCAAAGAGAUACUUGAAUUGAUCCAAAAACAAUACCUAUAUAUAUUCUGCUGUUUACAUGAAGUGGGGGCAGAAAAGGUGUAUUCUUUUGCACAGUUUGUGAAGGGUUAUGAACUGUACACAGCAAUGGAACAUUAAAUUAUAUAUAUAAGAAAAAAGGGAAACGUUUUAUUUGGCUGAAUACAAGAAACUCUAAUGAAACAUGCAUUAAAGUUUGUGUACCUCAGUAAAUAUUAAUUUAAUGCUUUAAUUAUAAGUAUAAUGAUAAUGUUUGUUUAUAUAAAUAUCAUGAUGCUAUCUAAUUAAUUCUAUGAGCUAAAAAUAAUUUUUUUUUUCACAAUUUAAAGACUAAAAAACUGUUUUUUUUUUAAUUUGAAUGCCAAAAUAGUUACAUGUAAAUUUGAAUUUAAUGGGCUAGAUAAAAACAAUUUCUUAAUUCGUUUUUAUAUGUUAAAAUUGAUUAAAAAUGAUCCAUUUAAUAAAACAUUAAUUGAUUUAAUAAAAUUCAUUUACUAAAGAGGGAAAUUCAUAAUUUCUAAGACAUUUAAAUACAUUGUAUUUAAAUUUAUCUCAUUUGAAACUGAUUUUUUUUUAAUCUUUUAUUUGAAUCAAGUAAUUCAAAUUCACUAAAAAUUUUAAUUUUUUUUUUUGCAUGUGUUUCAAUCAUUUUCAAAUGUAAAGAAAAUAUCAAAAAAUAAUAAAUUUUUUUAAAAAAAAUGUUGAUAUUGAUGAUGUUUUUAGUUGACCUUAGUUUAUAUUAUUUUUAACUAAACUUCUUCUUGAUUUUUUUUCGACUUUUCGAUUGGCUAAAAAAAAAUUCCAAUUGGAAAUGAUAAAUAAAUAAUCUUAAUUAAUGUUAGUUAAAAAAGUUUUCAAUCAACCAUGGAAAGAAAAUUCUAGCAAAUUAUUCACAAAAAUAACAUUUUUGUUGAUGAUAUAAUGAUGAAUAUUGUAAAAAAAAUAAUUAAUCACUAUAUUAGAAUUAUUAAAUAAAAUAAUUAUGUCAUAAUCAUUAUUAAAUUAAAAUUAAUUUUUUUAAAAAUAAUUAAUUUUUAUAUUAUCUAAAUUAGAUACUAUUUUUGAGACACAGUAUUUAAAUUAAUUUAAAUUAUGAACAAAUAAUUUAUAAAUUAAUAUUUAAUUACCAUUACAUAGAUUUUAAAAGUUAUCUAAUAAUAAAAAUUAAUCUAAUUAUUCUAAUUUUAAAAUUUCUUACCUAAAUAACAUACUUUGGCAUAAAUCAUUUAAAAUUCUUAGAAAAAUUAUCUUUCUUAAUUUUUUUUAUCAAACACAUUAUAUAUGUAAUGAUGUUGAUGAUUUAAGAUGCUAAUAUAUUAAAAUUAUGAAGAGAAUCAUCACAAACAAAAAAGCUAUAUAUUAUUAAUGUAAUUAAUUUGUUUAGAAUAUUUAGUUUUAAAUAUUUUAUAACAAAAUUACUUGUAUAUAUUUAUUUGAUGAGGUUAAUUUUUUAAUUAUCUUCUUUUUUUUGUCACUUAGUUAUAGUAUGUUCUUGUUGUCAUCCAAUUAUAAGAUGUAAUAAUAAUACUAUUAAUUUUAUAAUAAUUACAUCAAAAUAUUUAUUAAUGAUUUUUACACAGUGCAUUGAUAUUAAACUUUUCUCCUUGGGAUCAUAUUGUAUAUUGUUUUAUGAUUUUUUUUGUUUUUUCAUAAUUUUUAAUAUUUGCAUAUGUUGCAUUAAUGUUUUAAAAACUUAAUCUUAAUUAUUUUAAGAUUCUUUAUAGUGUCCUUUUAGGUUGAUUAGAGAAAAUAGGAAAAUGUAAUAUUUUUCUUGGUUUUAAUAAAAUAUUUAUAUUUUACCAUUUUCAUUUUUACCUCACAAUGCAUAUACAUAUAUGUAAACUAAUUAAAAGUUAAAUGAAUGAUAAAACUAUAAAUAACAAGACAAUAAUUAAUGUUGUCUUGAAAUUUAAAAAUAACAGUUAAACAAACAAAAAAUAUCACUAAAAAGUAUUUAUAUAUAUAUAUAAAAAACUAAUUAAAAAGUAGAUAAAAGAUAAGAAUAUACAUUUUAAAAACAUAAUUAAUAUUAUCUUCAACUUUAGAAAUACAGUUAAAUAAUUUAUUUAUUUUUAAAAGUAACGUUUAAAAAAGAAACGAGAAAAGUACACGGAAUAGAAGUAUCAAAUUUUUUUAAAAAAUGUGGGUUUUACUUGGUAACUAUUACAAUUUAAUAUAAAAUAAAAUAAAUAUAAAUUGAUUAAAAAAUUAUAAUUAAUUAAAAAAUAAAUAGGAAUUGAAGAAGAAAAUUAAUAUUUUAUUUCAGUGUCUUUAUGGUAACUAUAUUCAAUUCAACUCAUUAAAUAUUCUUUAUUAGUUUUUUUUAAAAUAAAUUUAUUCUCGAUAUUUAAAUGUUAAGUUUCUCCUAAAUACAAAAAUAACUCAAAUAUAGCUAUUAAACAUUAUAAAGGAAACAUAAAAUAAACAAGUACUAAAUAGAAGAGAAGAUGAUAUGAAGUUUCACACGUUUAUUUCAGUCGUUAUUUUCCUCUUAGGCUAAGAAUAUAUAAUUUAGUGUAAAAAGUAUUUAAUCAAAGUUAUGAACUCAUAACAUUAGAUCAGAAAAAAAUUCAAAAAUAUAUAUAUAUAUAUAUAUAUAUAUGAUAAUAAAUAAUUAUGAUCUAAAUCGAAAAUAUGCAUUUCAUUUUAAUUCAUAGAUAACAAAUUAUAUGAAUAAGUUUGAAUAAUUAAAGUUUUACUCUCCAUGCAUUGAUUGAUUAUUUAGGAUAAAUUUUCAUUUUUUUACAAUUAUAAACAAAUUUAUCCCAGUUAACUAAAUCAACUAUCCUUAUUUUUUUUAAUUGACACAAUUUUUUUAUUUUUUAACUGCCUUUUUUAAAUUAAAAAUAAUAUUAGCUCUUAAUUAUAUUAUUACUUUUCAUGCAUUUUUAAUUAAUUUUCAUAUAUGCUUUUAUUCUGAUGUAAUUUUUUUUUAUACUUACUUUACUAAAGUAAUACAAAAUUAUUAUAUUUAAAAAAAACUUAAAUAAAACAUAAAAAAGAGUAUAACUUUCUCAAUAAUUGUUUGUGAGUUAAUGGUGGCCAAAAUCUUAUAUUUAUAACUAUGAAAGCAUUUGAUUUUACCAAAGCCAUUUUUUUCUUGCAAACUUAUUAUACAAUAAUUAUAAAUCGUUAUUAUAUGCUAUGGAAGCUAAAAAUUUAUUUCAUAACAAAGAAGAAACUAAUUUGUUUUGCCCUAGAAUAUGCAUAACAGGGGAUAUAUUUAUUAUACUAUCGAGAAUAAUAAGUUUUUUUUAUUGAACAAUAUUUAUUAAAUUAGAAAUAGUUUAAUUAAAUAUAAGUAUCACUUAAACUAUUUAUUUUAUGAGUGUAUUUAAAAUAAAAAUUAAAUUUACUUUAUUAUUAAUUAAUACUAACUAGUUUAACUACUUUUACAAAUGUUUAUAAUUACAUAUUUAUUUUUACAAAAAAAUUGAGACAUUUUGCGGAUAGAUAUUAACAGUGUGUUAUAGAUAGAAAAAUUUAAUGGAUAAUUCAUUUUUACAGAGAAUUUGAAAUACUUUUUAAUAAUUUAUUUGGAUAAAAAAUUGAAAUUCUAAAUUUAUUUUGAGUAAUUAGAUUAUUUAAAAUAAGAUAAUUUUAAAUUUUAUUUAUAAAAUAAAAAUAAAAAUUGUUUAUAUUCUCAAAGUGUCUUUUUUUAUUUAUUUCAUAAGGUUCAUCUUUUUUAAAUCGUUAUAAACUUUGUAAAUCCGACACAUAAUUGAAAUCACUGAUUAUUUUUAGUUGAUAUCGAUUACAAAUUAUUUUUGUAUUGAUGUUAUUAUAAAUUAUUUUUAUUUAAAUUUUUAUGAUUAUAUUUUUUAUUUUUGUAAAUCACUAUUUUUUUCUUGAUAUUAGAAACUUUUUUUUCGGUCAAUGCUGAGAGAGUUUUUUUCUCGGUAAAUAUGAACUAUUUAUUUUUCAAUUGACGUCAAUGAUGAUUAUUUUUGUUUUAUUUGCAAUGAUUUUUUUAUUAUCGAUAAAAAUAAUAUAUUUGUCAAUAAGUUUUUAUAACUUUUUGUAGUGUUGAUUGGAAAAACUUUUAUCCAACGUUAACUAAAAUUACUUUUGCUAUAUUAAAAUAUGUUGUUUACAAAAAAAUAAAAAGUAUAUUUUACAGUAUGUAAAAUAGAAUAGCACCAACUACUUUUACAAUAAAAUAAUUACAUACUUUAUAAAAAUGAUAAAAUAAAUAAUACUUAAUUAAUCAAAGACCUACUAAAAUUAAUAACUCGAACAGAUAAAAAUGUAUUUUUGAAUUUUAAAAUUAUAAAAAAUAGGGAGACAAACCCCACUCAAACCCAUAAAUAAUUAUACCAAAAUCCUACAAAUUAUUUGUUAAAUAGACACUUAUUUUGCAUAUAGUUCAAUCCAAUAUUGCUAAGUACUGUCCAGAAUGGGCUGAUAUUUUUCUCAGCCUUUUCUUCAUGCACCCCAUAAUUUUUAACUAUACUCCUAUAAAUUUUUAAAUAAUCAUUUUAAUUCUUGUAAAAGUAAUUUUUGGAUUAUCUGUUUUGUUUUAGAACAUGUUCUCUAAAGUUUCCAGAAAAUCAUUUCCUUAACAAAAUUUUCAAAAUAAGAUUUUUAGAGUAAAUUUUCCUUCCAUAAUGAGCUUUCGAGAAUAUAUAUAAUACAUUCCAAAAUAAGUUUUUCAAAACGUGUUUACAAGAACAAGUUUUUCGAAACACAUAAAAUAUUUUUCAAAACCUAAAUGAUAUCUUUCUACAUUAAGGAUUUUUUUUGUGUCAUUUUUUAGGGUGCAGUUAGUAAUAAUGAGGUGCAGAAAGAAAAGCCCAUAGUUUCAAGUACACAGAUGGGGCUUUUGUGUUGCGCUGGGCUUCAUCAUUGUCAUUUUCUCUUUUUAAGUGUGGUGGUUCUUCUUGCAGUCUGUCAAAUUUCUCCCUACACUCCCAUCAAUUAGGUAAAAUAUCCCAUUUAAUUCACCAUCAUUUUAAAAAUUGAUAUAUACUGUUUUCGUCGGCUGACUUUGGUCGGUCUUCAGGAUACUCUGACUUGUCUUCACAUGAUGUUCUGGAUGUUGAUCUUUGGGAUAAAGGAGACUCUACCUAUUGAUCACAUUUCAACGAUCAAGUCAGUGAGAACAUUCAAACUAUAAAUUUGUAUCAGUAUAUAGUUCAGAUAAACUUACUUUUACUCGGGGUCUCAAACCCCUUUUAUAGACAUUCCUUCAAUUAUUUUCAUCAAUCAGAAUAUUGUUUCAACAACAGGAAUAUAAUUUCAACAACAAGAAUAUAAUUUCAACAAUAAAACAUUCUGUCAAUGUGCACCUUUAUUUUCAGCACCACAUUAUUCCCAACAACUUUUAAAGAUAUAUAUGCUUUAAUUAAUUUUGUUAUUCCUUUUGUUAUUUCUACCUUAAGUAUCUUCUUCAUAUAAACUACCAAAUAUUUGGACCGACCUUGUAACAUGUCGUUGAGUCCAUACCUGCCUCAAGUCGAACUGAAUAUAACUUAUCCAACCAAGCUUACUACACUUAAGUGCUGGAACUACGACCAAACACGUCCAUCAGUACAUAUACUUUGAAAAGAAUUAUUUAAAAUACACAUUUCAAAACGUAUACAAUAUUUUCCACAAUUCCGAAAAACAUUUUCCAAAAUUCUGGAAAAUAUUUUCCAAAAAUAUAUUUUAUGGAAAUUUUAAAUAUGUAUUGAAAACCUUAUGAAAAAAGUAAUCCAUAAGUCAUAUUAAAAAGAGCAACAUAGUCUUUUUCGAAAUUGACAGGUGCACGAAAAAAAUUGUUAGGAUGCGUGAAAAAACACCUUUUUAAGUGUUUACAUAUAUAUAAGUCAAUUAUCCAUAUGAUCUUGUUAUUUAUUUAUUUUGUUUAAUUUAAACUUUCAAUUAAUAAAAAAGUAGAAAGUUUCUCAAUUAAAAAAAAAAAUUGUAAUAAUAUAUUUUUUUAGGUAUAAUAAAUAUUCCAAUACCCUUAUUGAAAUUUACACGAUUAAUCUAUAAGUAUACACUAUAUCUAAAUCAUAAUAAAUCGUUAAAAACUCUUUGGAUUUACAUAAAAUGUACCCAUAUAACAUCAAAGAAACACUUUAUCUCGUCCUAUAGCAGAAUCAAAAUUUCGUGAAUAACUCGAACGAGUGAAGGGUUUCUUUCCAUGCAUUUGACUUUAGCAUCCACUCAUAUUAAAAGGGGCAAAACUAAAGAAAUUUUGAGAUAAAUUAAGUUUAAUGGGUUGGGGAGUGCUGCAUAAUGCCAUGAUUUACUCUAGUGGGUUAGUAAAGUCUUCAAGUCAAAACUAAUAUUACACAUUGGAUUAAGGACAUUGAUUACCAUAUUAAAAUAUUCAAGUUUUUCUAAUGAAAUGCAUAGAAGUACAUUUUCAUAUGAUUUUUUUAAUGUGUUUCUAUAUACGUUUUAAGAGAACAAAAAUAUCUUAUUGAUUUUUUAAUCGUUAACAAAACUCUAAAACUUAUAUGUGGUGGCAGCCAUUUUUAAAAAAUUAUUUGGCAAUUUUUAAUUUAUAUUAAAGAAUGUGUUUGGUGGUAGGGAUUUUGCCAAUAUACAUUAUCAUCCUUAAGAAGAAGUUUUGAAAUAAAAUAGUGGACCAUAGUAAGUAUUUCAUUAUACAUUAAUAAAAUAGUGGUCCACAUCGACUUAAAUAAGUUAAACUAAAAAAGUUAUUUUUAUUUAGAUCAUUAUUUUUUAAAUUUGGUCUUACUUGAAUCGUUAAGUUGUGCAAUAGAUCUAUUUUCACAACUCUAGGUCAGACUUAUGUUAAGAUGAAUUAGGCUAGUCCAAAUUUAAGUCAGUUGGAUUAGAUCAGACCUAAUUAAAGUUAGGUCUAGUCACGAUCAUGUCAAGUUAGUAUAAUUGAUCCCAAAUUAGGAAUUAGGUUGGAUUAGAUCCAUGUUAAAUUGAGUGGGUCAGAUUCAGGUCAAACUGAAUUGAGUCAAACUCAUGUUAGACUAAAUUGGAAUGAGUCUACAUUAUCAAGUAAAGUGAGGCUCAAGUAGGCCAAGUUGAACAAGGUAUAGGUCAGACAAAGUUAGACGAGACCUAGGUCGAACUAAAUUAGAUGAACCUUAGAUUAGAGUGGUCGAAUAAAGACAAGAUAGAUCCUACCUAAUUAAGACAUGUCCAAGUUAAGUCGAAUCGACUUGUGUCUAAGUCUUAACAAGUCAAACGCAUUCUAGAUUCAAUUUGAGUUGAUUAUCGAACCUAAAUUAAAUUGAAAUAUCUAAAAUGUAUUAAACUUAUUCAUAUAUUUUUAUUACCCCAAUAUAACCAAUUAUGUUGUAUAUACAAUAAAUAAAUAAAAUACUUUAUAGUUGCUUAGUAUAACUAAUUAUCGUGACUUCUCAUAAUUAUUGAGGUUUUCAUAAUCAAUUACAAAUAUAUUAUAUUUUAUUACUAUUUUAAUAAUAAAAAAUUAAAUUAAUAAGUAAACAAAUAUAAUAAAUAACAUUAUCAAAAUAAUUGAAAUAAAUUUUGUUUUCAUUUAUUUCUUUUUAACCAAAUACAUCCAUAGCAAAGCAAAUUACACCUUGUGUGCCCAAUACAGGCUCUUUGGUUAUACUUUAUUUCCUGCUUCUUUCCCUUUGGAAAAUAAGACUGAAAGUGGAAGAAAAAGGAAGGUGAUAUAUAUUGAAGAGAUUAUGUAGUCAGACUCAGCACACUAAAGAAGCACACAUUUUUCAUCCUAAAGAAUCCACAAAGCAUAUUCGGAAUUGCUUUAUAUAUGUGUGAGACACAUUAUAACACAUUAUAAGGUUGCUAACUGUAGUUGAAGAUAUGAACAAUGUUGAAAAUAUUUAGUGGGUUAUAUCUCUACAUUACCAACAAGUAUAUCAGAGACCAAAAAAAUAUGUAGCAGAACUCAGUGCAAGUGUAAAAUGGAUUCAUCUUCCAUAUUUGGAGAGAGAAGAAGACUUAAGUUGUUUGGGUGCAUGGAUCAUAAAUCAUGUUAUCCAUAAAGGGGUUGCAACUUUGUGGUUAGAUCCAGAAGGCAGAGACAAUUUGAUAUGGAAAACAUCUCAGACCAUCAGCAUUUGCAUUUCUUGAUUCAAACAUCAAAAGGUUGAAAAAAGAAGCGUUGAAUUGCGUCAAUAGUUAUCUGUACGGUUCUUGUUUUUGUCCAUACGUGGAUUACACCUAUGGAGUUUUCAAAAAUCUUAUCAGAUAAGUAGUUGUAUGAUUCUUAGUUGAUGAGUAGAAUAAAUAUUCAAAAUUGUUAAUGAGUGUGUUAGGAUAUUAAGAGGUGGAUUUUAAGAAGGUUUUUUUGACUAUGAUGGAGUUAUUUUUUUUGGUUUUUAUCAAAAUGGGAUCCGUUUAAAAAAAAUUACAAAUUUAGGCAAGUCGUGUCAAUUCGACACGACUUCAUAUGCAGAAAUCGUUCCAAUUAGGCACGACUUUUGUCAUGUCAUACUGAAGUCGUGCCAACUUGACACGACUUCUGCCCCGUCAUAUUGAAGUCGUGCCAACUUGACACGACUUCUGCCUUCUCAUACAUAAGUCAUGUCAAGUUGGCACGACUUCUGCCACGCCAUAUUUUUUAAAUUUUAUUUUUAAUUUUAUUGUUUAUAUAUUGGAUAUUAAGUUAUGUAAUGUUAAAAAUUAAUUUGAUACAUAAUUUUCUAAGAAUGUUAGUUUUAAGGAAAAAAAUUUGGAUAAUAGUGUAUGGAUAAUGUUUGACGGUAAUGUAAUACAAUAACCUGAUUAUUUGAUUAAUUAAAAAAUGAAGAAAAUUGUUAUUGAAUUUGGAAAUAAAUAGAUAAAUGAAAAAUUAUUAUAUUUGGAAAAUAAAUAGAGAAUUAUUGUUUUGAAUUUGCAAAAUAAAUAGUUUGAGAAGUAAUGAUUUUACAAAACACGUAAUGAUGAGAAGAAAUUAAUUUUUAACAUUACAUAACUUACUACCCAAUAUAUAAACAAUAAAAUUAAAAAUAAAAUAAAAAAUUAUGACGUGGCAGAAGUCGUGCUAAGUUGGCACGACUUUAGUAUGACAUGGCAGAAGUCGUGCCUAAUUGGGACGACUUCUACAUAUGAAGUCGUCCUAAUUAGACACGACUUGCCUAAAUUUGUAUUUUUUUUUAAACGGACCACAUUUUGGUGAAAAAAAAUAAAAAUAACCCCAUCAUGGUCAAAAAACCUUUUAAGAAAGUCAAUCAUAAAAAAAUCAUUCAUUCAUAUAUAAUAUGAGUCAUCGACUUAUAUAUUAUAAAAUGUUAUGUGAGAUUUUGUACGUUAGAGCCGAAACCCUUUAAUUCGUACGUAAUACUAUAUAUUUAUGGGUAUAGUUUGAUAACAGUUUAAUAAUGGAUAAUUUGACAAGUUUAAUAAAUUCUCGCUAUGAUAGAAUUCAACGUACUCGGACUCUGAUACCAUAAUACUAAGAAAUGAACUUUUAAAGUCUAAUUCAACUUACAAAACCGACUCAAAAGAAUGAUUGCACCACUUAUAUUCUAAGAGGUGUACAAAGUAAAUCUCGAACCUAUAAUUCAAACAUUUGAUUCAAUUUUUUACAUAAUUUUUUCCACAUCCAAUAUUGUUGGGUCAUGGGCCUAGGCCGACCCAUUGUCAUUAAAGGCUAGACACCGAUCUAAAUAUCGCGGGUAUAGGUCAACCUAGUGAUCGAGCACAACUUUUAGCCAGCAGUAGCCUUACUUGCCUGUGCAUAAGGCUAGGGGGCAUGUUGGGUUAUUGGCUUGGGGCUGACCUUAGGUCAUUUAGGUAGGAGGCUGAUGUAAAUGAAUAAUAUAAAGGAAAUAGCACAAAACGGAGAUUUGGAUUAAUUAGCAUUAAUCAGGCAAUAAAGAGAGAAUCAUAACGACAUACACAAGGUUAAGAUUGACUCCAUAUAUACUAGGUAAAACUUCACAGAUAGACAUAUCACAAUUUAGGUUAAGAAUACACUUGUUCUUAACUACCUUGAAUGUCCUGGAUUUAAGUCUCCUAUUGACCUGUCUAGAACAAAUAUAAAAUAAAAACUGUUUAUAUGUAUUAAAUAUUGUGGAAGUAAUGUCUUUAUAAUUUUCUUUUAUGCACAACUUGAAUGUUAUAUUUCUCAAACUAAUACGGGGAAGUUCCUCUUAGUUGAGACUCAUUUGUGGGAUAUGAGAAGACAUUAUGAAGUAAUAAAUUGAUAGUCCAAUAUUUGAACAUUUUUAUGUAGAACAUAGAAAUGUGAGAUAUUGUAAGAAGAUAUUUUUUUAUAUGUUUUUCUUAUAAGAGUUAAGAGAUUCCUUAAAUGUCUAAUAUUUUAUUCAUUCUAUUAUUAUUUAUUGAGAAAAAAAUCUAUAAACUAAUGUAACCUACUAUUAUUAUUAUUUAAUAUCAAAACAAAAAGGUAGAUGUUGCCUUCUAUCAUUUUUUAGUGUGAUAUACUGUACACACCAUUAUAUCCCACCUUAAGAUAAUCUAGUUCUCUCCAGAGUUUAUUACUCCUUUGUUGUUGAAUUUUCCUGAAAUCUUCAAUAAAUAUAAUAUGGAGUAAGUGAUCAAUCUUUGAGUUGUAUUUUUUUUAAAUUUUUAUAUAAAUUUCGAAUAAAUAUGAGUUGAAAAUUUUACAUGUUUAUAUCUUUUAUAUAAAUUUAAUUACGACUUAUUUAAGACCAAAUUCAGUCGAUGUGUCUUCUAAAACAACAAAUAAUAAUUAUACAUCUAAAAAUAAAUAUAAUGAAAUAAAUAAUCGUUAACUGGUAGCUGAACUACUUUACCCUUAUUUGCAUAGUAAACUGAGACUUUACUUAGUUUGUGUAUUGACCAUGAUGUGUGUUGGAAUUGAAAACAGUGAUCAUUUGACAAAUUUGCAAAGGAUGUGUCUUGUGUUGUAAAUGGUCAACGAUUGUAAAAACCAUGUUCAGAAUCUGUGUUGCGCACUUAAAGCACUUUCGUUUGAAUCGUGCUCACCAAAUUCAUGAAUCAUUAUUUGACGAAGAAAAAGGUUUCAUGGUUUCACUUUGGGUUACAAAAUCGAGGUUAAAUCACACUGACCCACCUGAAACUCAUAAAAUAAACACACCAUUUAUUUAUUUAUUUAUUCACUUUCAUAACUAAAUAAUGAUUUUGGUUAUUUCGUAACUUAUUUUAUAUCAUUAGAUUAUAUACCUAUGGCCACUUUCUCUAAAGUUAGGUCACCUGAUGAAAUAUUAUUAAUUGGUCUUUCAAGUUAAGGAUAUAUUCAUCUCAACUUCCUUAGAAUCCAUUAUUUCAAGUGACUACUGACUCAUAUUCUAUGUAAUGUGAGUUUGAGUUCCACUAAUCACCAAAACACUUUUCAAAGUGUUUAUAGAGUUUCAUGGAUUUCUAUAAUUUAUAACUUAUUGAGAAUCAACCCACGUAAUUUUUUUAUGUUUAAUAUUUUUGUUUUAAAAUUUAUUAUCAGAUUAAAUUUUGUUAUUGUUCUUAUCAGAUCAUUCUUAUUUUCCUCUCGGCUUCUUGAUCUUUUGUUAUUGAUUUAGGCUUUCGGUUACUGAAUUAGUUAACUUGGACUCUCUUAUAUGGGUUUGGGCGUUUUUUCGACUAUUAGAUGUAGAUGUGGGUAAACUCUCGACUUCUAGGUCUAGGAUAACUCUCGGAUGGGUGUUUAUCUGCAAGGAACUCCAAUGAUAAAGUCGGAAUCUCAGAUAAAAUCAUUCCACUUAGUAAAACAGAUCACCUAUUUAUAGUGAUGGUUAUUGGACUUUAACUUUGAUUAUAUUUUUACUUUUCAAACCUUACUAUUACUAAGUAUAUUUUUAAUUUCUAAACUAUUUAUUAAAAUUUAAUACAAUAUUAUUCUAAAUUUUAAUAUUUUGACCGUCUUUCACUCAGCUAACCAGUACACUAAUCAUGAAAGUGAUAUUCCCAUAAUUUUAUAUUAAUAUGACAGUUGAUAUUUUAUUACUAUAAUUUAUUUUUUAAUACAUAGGGGAAUAGGAAUCCUUGACUGUAUAUGCAUAUUAUAGUUGUUUAGUUCUAAUAAAAUUUUGCACAAAAGAAAAAUAUAUAUAGUUAUACAGUAUGAGUUGACAUGACAUGAACUCCUCAGAUUUAAAUAAAGUAAAGUAAAUUAAAAACUUAAUAAUUUGAUUGAACGAAAUAAUUUUCUGGAUUUGAACUUGUUUUGAAUUAUGUUUUAUGUUUGUUUAAGAAUAAAUAUGAUUAGGAUGAACUCGAUUUUUGUUUUACUUGGAAGCUACCCUUAACUUGUUGCUUAUGCACAUUUGUUUGAAAGAUUAAGCUGUGUUUACCUUCAGAUAAUGUUUGUUUAAUGUUAAUAAUGUUUCUAGAAGGUAUUAUAAUUGAAGAAAAAUGUGUUACACUGUAUAGCAUAUUAGGUAUGUUUAAGGAAAUGAUUAAAAAAUUGAUUGAGACUAAUAUUUUUAGAUGAUUGAGAGAAAACCCUGAGACACUAUGGAUAUACUUUAAAUAAUAAUAAUAAUAAAGGUUAAAAGAUGCUUUUCCUCCAUCUUAAUAUAUUAUAACGUAAAAUUAAUUUUUAUUUUUAGUCUAAAUUUUAAAUCUCUUAAAUAUUUAUGAUAAAAAAGUAUUAAUAAAAAUUUAUUUUAAUAUUUUUUUAUUACAAGUAUAAGACAUCUAAACUUUAGCAUAAGAUGAAAACCAAUUUCGCCAAAAACAGAAAAAAUAUAUUUAACUCUACUACUUCUACUACUAAUAAUAAUAAUUUAUCAUUAAUAAGGAUGUUUUCAUUAUUUAACCGUUUUUUACACGUUACCCAUUUUAAUUUUAUUACUGGUAUAAAGAUUACCUAUAAUUAUUAAUAAUGAAGGAAUAUUUUUUAACCCUUUUUAUAUAUUCUCUUACCUAUUUGACUUUUAUGAUCACAUUUAUUAUUUUAUUGAUUUUAUUAUUUGUAAGAAAAUUAUUUAUAGUAAAUAGUAACUAUCCCUUAAGUGCUAUGUAAUUGUAGUAUUAUAAAAGUUAAUACAAAAUAUUUUUGUAUAGUUUUAAUAUGAUUUUUAAUAAUUAUUAUAAUAUGAUUAUUUUAUAAUUAUAUUUUUUAUAUAAAAAGUAGAUAUACAUGUGUUUAUGCUUUCAAUAAUAAUAAUAAUAAUGAUAAUAAUAAUAAUAAUAAUAAUGUAAAGAAGGAACUCCGUGUGUAUAUUAUCUGAAUAUAUAGUAUGAGAUAACAACAAAAUCAAGAGUUUAAUAUAGCUUAUCAAAAUGACCUUUACGUUACAUUGACUAAUGAGUUAUUUUAUUUAAAUAUUUAACAUUUAAAUAUUUUUAGUUUUUGAAUAAAAUAAUGAGUUUUGAUUUUAGUCUCUAAUUUUAUUAUUUAAAUCUAAAAAUUAUUACUUUUUCCUUUUUAGUAUUAUAUAUCACUAGUUAUUGUUAUAUGUAUGAAGCGUUAAGUGACUAUUCCAAAUAAUGUUACUAUUGGCACAUUUGAAAAGAUUUAAAACUUUGUAAAAUAAAAAUUAUUUAUUCAUCUUAAAAAAACAUUAAGAACUAAAAACAAUUAUUUAAAAUCCUGGAAUGAAAACAAAAAAUCACACAGUGAUUAAAACAAAAAUUCACACCUUUAACAAUAAAACCAAUUAUUUCAAAAUUAACUAGAAUAAGUAAUAAAUAUUUUUUCUAUUGAAAUCAAAACCAAAACUCCUUAUUUCUAACAUACUAAAAAGUAUCUAAACCUAUAAUUAAUUACUAUUUAUAUAAUUAAACAAAAAGUUUCUUUUUAAUUUCUAUACUUAGAAACAUAUCAAUAUAGUUUCUUAUAUAUAACUUUGAGCUCUUGUUCCUAUAUAUAAACUUAUUGCGUUUUAAUUUUUACAGCAAAAAAUAAAAGAAAUAUAUACGCAAGGGGAAAAAAAAUCAAGGAUAGUAACUAAAAAUCAUAAAAGUGAAAUGAGCCAAUUAAACCUUUAUUUUAUCUUGUUAAUUAUAAUCCUCUGAUUUUUGAAAUACUUAUUUAUUUAUUUAUUAUUAUUGUAUUAUUAUUUUAAAGAUUAAGAUAAUAUUAAUUAAUAUUUGGACGAAGUAUUUGAAUGUGUUUAGGUGGUAAAUGGAUAGGUUAAUGGAAAAUGGUGUGAUUGGUUUGACAUACUAGUAGAAAGGGAUAAGAAAAAAGGUUAAUAAAUGAAGAGAUUGUGAAAGGAAUGAAGAAGGAUUGGAUGGUGGAGGAAUGUGUUGUGCAAAGCCAAGACAGGCAUAAGCUUGCACCAGCAUGGGGCUAUCAAGUGCCAACUAAUCCUCGCCACACACUCUCCUCGUGCCUCCCUUGUGCCUUUCUUAUCCUAUGCCAACUCUUUCACCUUUCCCUUUCUCCCCAAACUAACAUAUAAUAUAACUAUUUCCUCAUAAAAACAAUAACUUUUCAAAUUAAAAUAAAUUAUUCUAAUAAUUUUACACUAGAGACAACUAAAUGUAAAAUUUGAAUCACAAAACUAUAGUACAAAUACGAAACACUAAAAACAAAUAACAUUCCACGUCUAAUGCUUCUUCUAGUCUCAUGUUUUCAACCCUGACGAAUACAACCUAUGAGGUUCAGACACUUUUAUUAAAUGACGUAUCUGUAUCCGACACAUGUAUCGGUAGGAUACUUAUCGCUGAAUUGUUCAAUUCAAAAAAUAUUUGUUGGAUUUUUUAAAAUUUCAGCACGGUUCUAACACAAUUUUAAAAUGUAUAAAUACAAUUAUUUUCUAAAAAUUCAAAUUUAUUGUAUAAAUUUUUAUUAUGAUUAUAAAAAAUAAGGAAUAAAUUCUUUUGAACCAGUAAUGAAAAAU